UUUUUUUUUUUUGUGUUCGCGAUUUGGACAUUCCAUGUUAAAUUUGAAUUUCUGUUUAAAAAUUGUAGUAGUUUAAUAUGUUGAUUUAUAUGAAAACUUUUAUUUAAAUCGUUAGAUUAUCUUUAUCAAUUUAUCGAUCAAAUCAAAUAAAAAAAGAGAAAUUUUUGCUUAAAUUAGGUAGAGAGGAUAUUUAGUAAUAUUUCAAGUCUAUGUUUUUAUAAAUGAAAUAAAAAAAUAAUUGACUUGGUGCUUUACAGGUGGUACCUUCGAGCACACUAGCAAGACAGCGAUAGCAGCAAAGAAUUAGCAAUAAGACAAGGUGUUUGUAGAAGCUUUUGCCUUGGGAUAAGAGAAUGGACAUGGCACCCGUUCUAGAGGAGAUGUACAAGUAUAUAAAGUUUCUCCAAGUGCAAAUUAGUGUCCUCCAAUCUAUGCCGAGUAAUAUUGAGAUGAUGCUUCCACAUUCAAUAAAGAAAAUGGUGAAGUUUAUGGGGGUGUUCUGGAGCAGCUAAACAAGCAACAGUUGCUGGAGGUGGGGUGGAUUUUUUUUUAUUAUUAUUUUUAGUUUAAUUGUUUUGAGAAAAUAUAAAUUUAUCAUUUUACCCUUUUGAAUUUGGUCAAAAAGGGGUCAAAGUUCACCUUUUUUUGUCGACUAUCCAUUUACCAUUGUGCGGUAAAAAAAAAAAAAUUUUGAAAUCGUGAGUGACACAAAAUGAAGAUUGAGGUAAAAUUUGCAAAAAAAAAAAAGAAGAAAAGUUUGGGAUCUUUGUUGCAAUUAUCCCUUUAAAUUUUGUUUUUGGGAGUCAUGAAUUUUGUGUUUAAUUAUCAUAUAUUUAAACAUAAAUAUCAUAUUUUUUCAUACGUUACUAGAUUAAGGGUUUAAUAAGUACUAUUAAUGAAAUGAAAAUGCCUAUUGAUUUGCCAACUAUAUGAAAUAUUAUUUUUCUGAAUUUUCUUGCAAUAUCAUUAAAAAUUAUGUUGUUUUACAUGAAAUUGUAACUUUGUGCACAAUUCAUUGAAAUUUGCAUAGUGUAGGAUGUGGUUAAAUAAGAGCAUCUUCAAAGCUUGAUGUGAAUUGUCAUUUAGUUUGCAGGUAAAUAGAAAAGUUUUUAUUUAUAUUGCCCAGUUGGUGGGGAUUAAAAAUAAAUUUUUAGUAGAUUUUGAUAAAAAGUUAAUGAAAUAUGGGGUUGAAAAAUUGUGGAUCCUAUAAAAUAUGUGGUUAAAAUUAAUUAUUGAAUUUAAUUUAUAUUAAAAUCUAGAUUUUAAUCCUUACCAAAUAAGGACAUAAUAUUGAUAUCUAAUGAUGGUAGAGUUCAAAUAUCAUCUCUAAUAAAUCAUGUUUUGUAACUCAAAUUUCAUCCCAACGUAUAUUUAAAAAAGUGAGCAAAAAUUGUAAAAAAAUAUAUAUGGAAGAGAAAAAUAAGAAAUGAAAGGAAGAAAGUUUAAAUUUUAUUAUCUUAUUCAGACUAGCUAAAUUUUAGACGGUGUUAGAUACUAAUUUUUAUGAAAAAAUAAAUUUUACAAUAGUAAAUUGAUAGAUAAUGUGUAGAUAAAAAAUAAAGAAUUUUUUUUAAUUUACGAAUAAUAUUAUUUUAAUAAAGAAUGUAUGGUUUAAAGAAAGAGAGAGAAACUUAUCAAAAAAAAAAGGAAGAGUGAGAAAAAUAUAUUUUGAUAAAAAUAAAAACCAAACAGGGCCUUUUUAUCUUACUUAGACUAGCAAAACCUCUUAUCUAGAUGAACCCCUUGACAGUAUUAAUUAUUUUUAUUUUUCUUGCCAUGUUAAUUGAGAGGGUGUUUGAGCUCUAUUUUUAUGGAAAAAUAAAUUUUAAAAUAGUAGAUUGAUGGAAAAUGUGUGGAUAAAAAAUAAAUUUUUUUUAUUUACAUGUAAUAUUAUUUUAAUAAAAAUACGUGAUUAAAAAAAAGAGGGAGAAAAAUAUAUUUUGAUAAAAAUAAAAAUCAAACAGUCCAAAGCAUAUUCUCCAUUAGAUUGCAUUGAAAAUGAGUUUCUAGAGAUUGUCUAUGUUGCAAAUGUGGCACUUAUUUACGCGGUCCAUGUUAACUAUUAUACGCUAAAACAAUUAUGAUCAUAGCAAAAGGCACCCUUUACAGUGCACGUGUCCUUGCAAUUUGCACCUCUCUAUCAUAUAGGUACAGUUGAAAUGAAAACUGCCUUAAAACAUAAAACAAGCAGUAAUAUUGAACAUAAAGGCAACAUAUAAAAGCAAGCCACACGGAAUCAUAGCCUUGCCUAAAAACCUAUAGUUAAUUGUUCGAAUGAUCAUUGAAUUUAGGUCUAUAUCUUUAAUUGGUCAUUAAAGUUUAAAUAUCGAGUUUUGAUCACUAAACUUAGGUCCAUACAUUCAAUUGCUCACUGAAGUUUAAAAUGUCGAGUUUUGACCACUAAACUUUGAAAAAUGUUGCGCAUUACUCACUGAACUUUGAAAAAUAUUGUACAUUACUCACUGAACUUUGAAAAAUGUUGUACAUUACUAACUGAACUUUGAAAAAUGUUGUACAUUCCUCACUGUAAACUCAAUAUUUUUCAAAGUUUAGCAGUUAUGCUAGCGAGUAACGUACGACUUAUUCCUAAGUUCAGUGACCAAAACUCGACAUUUUAAAUUUCAAUGAGCAAUCAAGACAUUGACCUAAGUUUAGUGAGCAAUCGAAAACAUUGAGCUAAGUUCAGUGAUCAAUCAAAAAUAUAGAACCAAAUUCAAUAACUAUUAGAACAAUUGACUCUAAAACGAAAAUUAUAGUCUCGAUCACCAAAAGGUCCAAGGGCCUCGAAAAAUGGGCAAAAAUGUUAUUGCAAGUUCUAACACAAUCAACAUAGAUUUCAUUACAACAAAUUCAUGUGAGCACAUAAUGAAUUGCUAAACAAGUGUCACUAGAAUACAAACUUCAACACAAAUAUGAAAUUUGGAUUUAGCCCCGUUUGAUUUUCAUUCUUUGGCCACAAAAAUAAAAAAUAUGAUCGAUAUCCAUCACAUCAAGCUACCAUAUUUGACUUUCUAUCUCGUGUGGAUCCCAUAACGACUAUAUUUUUCAUUCUCAUUCUCAAAUCUGUGAGAAUCAAACGGGGCCUUAAUCAUAACUUUCAACACAACACAAGGAAAUGUUAUCUCAUAAAAUAACCAAAAGGUCCUUACAAAGUCUAUAAACAAGGUCAUUUGUACAACUUAAAAAGGUUGAAAAUCUAAGAUACAACUUAUACUCACAUCGAAUAGAGAAAUUACGGAUGGACCCUCUCGAAAUUCUAACAUUCUUCCAUUGAAUAGCACUUUCGGUAUGCCGAAAACUCCAUUUUUCUUUUUUCUAUGAACAAUUUAGUUCCUAAAAAACCUAAAAAAGGAGCAAAAUCAUGCCAAAAAUUGACCAAGAAACUUGACCACAAGCUUUAAAAUAUGAUUUCCGUAGGUCAACAAUUUGACGACGUCUAUGAUAAUACUUAAAAUAAUCAAGAGAAGAACACACAUGGGGAACACAAGGCUAGAAAGUGUGUUUGGAAAUGGGUCUUGUAGUAAUAAAAACACAAGAAAUAUAAGAAUGAAAAUCUAAUCAUUCCAAUGGAAAGAAAUGCUCGGAGAAGGCGAAACGGGAGGUCAUCGAGACGAUCGGUCCUAUUAACUCAAACAAUAGCCAACAUGGCCACCUAUCUAACAUUAUGUUGAUGAUAAGAACACAUCCAUGAGGUUAUUAUUUGUGUACCAGAGUCACGCAUUUCCGCCUCCAUGAGAAGUUCAGAGUGAGAUUAAAGCAUAAUGCUCUUCGCAAAACCAACAAAACUAACACCAUGUUAUUCUCACCAGACACCAAGUGUCUGACCCGUUGCUUUACUCAACAGGAAAGGGAAAUCAACUAUCCCAUAAUGAGAGAGAGAGAGAGAGAGGUGACCCUGCAGAUAUGUCAAUGUUCUUAAUAAGCUUAGCAGAGCAGAGAUUGCAUAUCCAAGGGGGUUGGGGAGGGAGCAGAUGUACAAGAGGUGCACAAUGGUGAUAUAGCCAAGUUAUAACGAAGGAAAGCUCCAAUGUAAAAGCGGAGGACCUUAAAGACCCACUAUAGAUGAUGGAAAGGACAUAUUCCACAUCCAAAGGUAGAAAUGAGGAUGUAGCCAUCAAUAACCAAACAAUAGGUCCUGUUUCCACACAGACUGGAUACGUUAGGUACCACUUGUGCAAAUAAGCCUUUGCCAGUACGACUCUCAUUAAUUUCCCGUUGUGGAGAGAGGGUAAUGCCAUUUGUACAAUACAUUUUGACAACAUUAUUGAUAACUUUGUGUGUGUCAAAAAAAAAAUAUUAGUUGAAAAGAUAAAUUAUUUUUUAAAUUGUUUAAUGAUAAUACGCCACAUGACAUGUUGUUAACAAUAUAUUGUAAAAUACGGUGCUAAAAAUGCACGUAUCUGCCAAACUUCUCGAUUGUCAACGGAAGCCCAUUGUAUUUGUACCCUCAAAUUCAGUACAGAUCGUUCAAUUUAUCGCUCUGAAUACAACUAUUUUUUUUUCUCAGAUCCUAAAAAUCCAGUGUGCUCAUUUUCGAUCCAAUCGACAUUUGAAUUUGUAACAUUCUCAAUUUAGUCGAUGGCGGUGAAGGGGAGGCAGUAUGGGAGAGUUCCGCCGCGUAAAUCGUCGUCAUCUAUGAUGAUUUUCGCGAUGCUCCUGAUAUUCUCUUUCCUCAUUAUAAUCCUUUUGGCUCUCGGAAUUCUGUCGAUUCCCGGCAGUUCGAAGGGCUCUACAAAAGCUCACGAUCUCAGCUCUAUCGCCCGCAAUACCAUUACCAAGUAUGAAUUUAACUUGAGUCCGACAAUGACAUUGAAUUAAUGUGAUUUCUGUAUAAUUGUGAUCUGAAUUUGUUUUUAUUUGGUGAAGAGGUGACGAAGACGAGGAGAGGAAAGAUCAGUGGGUUGAAGUGAUUUCUUGGGAACCCAGAGCUUCCGUUUUUCACAAUUUUUUGGUAAUUAAUUAUUAUUCUUACGCACAGACGGACAUGCAUAUGGGAAAAUUUCAUGUUUUCUCGCUCUGUCAAAUUAUGAAUUUUAUUCAUCUUUAUAUAUGUCAGAUGCUAAAUUCUACAUGUACAUUUUGGCCACUUGGAGUUGGUACUGGGGCUUCAAAAUUAGGGUGGUUCCUGGAACAUUAACUCUAAUUUCAGGGUAAAUUUUUAGUUCCAAUUAUGAGUCCCCUUGUCCUUAGAUAUUUGGCUUACACCGUAAAAAGGCCAGAUAAGAAAAGUCACGUAAAAGCAUCUAAUGGCCUGAAUUCAUUACGUACAUACCUAGACUUCUAGACACUAACUUAACAAUGGAAAAGAUAAUAAUAGAACCAUUCCUACAGAAUUCAAAUUUCUGUACACAGCAGUAUAUCAUGUAAGCAUUACUGCCCAAAUGCCGUGAAAUUAUUGCCUCAGUUUACAUUUCAGGAGACCUCUCUUAGCUGUACACAGUUCAAAAUUUAGACCUACCCAGGCUUGAUUAAACCCUUCUGUUCUAGUUGGUUUGACAUAAAUUAGAGAAUUGUAGGAGAAGGGGAAAGGAGGGGAAAAGAAGAGAAAGCAGGGGGGGAAGAGAGGAAGAAGAGAAGAUAGAAAUUAGGGAGAGAAAUCAAUUUAUUUCAUAUAAUCAAAUUGUUCUAUUACAUCUCCAUAAUCCUCUUUAUAUAGGGUUUCAAAAAUCAUAACUAAGUAAAAAAAUGCUAUAAAAGUUAAUUAAAUCACAUUUUAAUCACGUUUCCUCAAAUAUGAACCAAAAUAGGGAACUAAAUAAAUAAUUAUCUCUAUAAUAUUGCAUCAAUUAUAUUCCCAUGAAAAAAGAUAAAAAGGAUUGAAGUGAUUAUCAAUCUUAAACGANNNNNNNNNNNNNNNNNNNNNNNNNNNNNNNNNNNNNNNAAACGAGCGUGACACACACACACACGGGGGGUGGGGGGGGGGGGAGAACAAAUUGGGGAAAAAAAUGUAUGCACCAAUUGAGGAACAGUGCAUUUCACUAAAGCUAAACUUUGUGACAGAAUUGCUAGUCUCUUUUCUUAUUUGCAUCACAGGUGAUCAUUUACCAGAGUUAAUGCACCAUGUUUUAGUUUUUGGAGGUAGUUCAGAACUUGGCAACUUGCUGAUUGAAGAAUACGGUCCUACUGUUUCUCUGCUGCUGGGUGAUGACUUAGUGUUCCUUACAACCAGACACUAAAAUAUAGUAUCUGACACAAGAGAAAUUGACUUGACGUUGAUGUUACCAUACUUUUGAUCUCUAGAUGAAUGUAUCUCAAAAAUGAAGUCUGUUGUCUGAAGUUGAAAGUUAAUCAUGAAUGGUUGCUUGAAAUUUUUUCUUUUGUUUCCCAGUUCAUGGACAGAGUAGGGAGAUAGAUAUUUUUCAUAUGAAUUCUGUUCAUAAAUAUGUUGUUGAUCUGCUAAUUAAUGCCUCAACUAAGUCCAUGGGCUACUUGAUUAUUUUUCCUAUUUUUUGGGCAGUCCAAAGAGGAAUGUGAGUAUCUGAUCAAUCUUGCUAAGCCUCAUAUGCAGAAGUCAACAGUUGUUGAUAGUGACACUGGGAAAAGUAAGGAUAGUAGGUAUGCUGUUUAUUAAAUUCUUCAAGUCCUUGUAUUUAAGAUGCACCAGAGAAGACGGAAAAUUUUACUGUGUUAUUUGUUUCUGAAUUUUUCGGUGCUAUUUUUUCUGAUACAUUGUUUGUUGCAGAGUCCGUACUAGUUCUGGUACAUUUCUCCCUAGAGGACGUGAUAAAAUUGUUAGCGAUAUUGAGAAAAGGAUUGCUGAUUUCACCUUCAUCCCUGUAGGUAUGCAGUUCAAUUGCUGCUCGUGAUGGUUUUUACGUGCAAAUUCUUCUAUCAUUUACCAUGAUGACAAUCAUACUGUAAAACGAAAGUAGCAAGAUUUAGAAACUAGUUGGGGCCAGACUUGGAAUACCAAAAUAUGUUUGGUUUUGAUCUAAAGUUUGUCUGGCAUCAACUCUUCUACUUUUGGCUGAAUUCUUCCAGUUUGUCAACGGUAGUUGUUUGUACUAUGGUUGGGCUAGGCAAGUAAAGAAAUUUGCGUUACCGUAUAUAUUUGAACUUUAUCCAAAAGGGGUAACCAUAAUCCUCGGAGAAAAGAGCUAGCAUUACAGAAUGGGAACUUGUAUUUAUAUGAGGAGUUGCAUUAAUCUGUGCCUAGUACUUUGCAAGAGUGCAGUUGUUUAGUUGGAUGUAGUGCCACCCUUAGCUGUCACCACAUCUAUUUUCCAAAUAUAGUAACCUUUUGUUUUUAUAUCACUCCAAUUUUCACUUCCUGUUAUUGCAAUUUGUUGGGCCACUGUCUCCACAGUAAAAAAGUCAUAUUCCUUGGAAUCAUAGAUGCCACUGCCUUAUUGGAGCUGACUUGUUUUACCAAUUAGCUUUGUUUAUUUUAAUGUUUUGAUUUCUUUGGAAGUAUGCUUUCAGAUGAUGCUAAAGUUGUAUCAUUUUUUUUUCUCAUUUCCAGUUUUUCUUGGCAUAUGUUGACAUGAUGUGCAUUUUUGUUCACAUUUUGGUUUUAACGAGAAUGAAUUUGCAAUCAACAGAGCAUGGGGAAGGUCUUCAAGUCCUCCAUUAUGAAGUAGGCCAGAAGUAUGAGCCUCAUUAUGACUAUUUUAUGGACGAGUUUAACACAAAGAAUGGUGGUCAACGAAUUGCUACAGUUCUUAUGUACCUGUAAGUGAGUUUUUCUAUUUCAAUACUCUUACUGUAGGUUCUUAUGAUCGGUAGUAACACACUGUAUUACAGGUCAGAUGUUGAAGAAGGGGGUGAAACGGUAUUCCCUGCUGCCAAAGGAAACUUUAGUUCUGUGCCUUGGUGGAAUGAGCUAUCUGAAUGUGGUAAAGAAGGACUUUCUGUUAAACCAAAGAUGGGCGAUGCAUUACUUUUCUGGAGCAUGAAGCCUGAUGCAACUUUGGAUCCUUCAAGUUUGCAUGGUUAGUCGUAGUUAUGACUGGUUGUUUUCUGUAACGCUGGUAUUUAUGGUAGACCUUUCAGAUGUCUCUUGAAGUGCUUGUCUUCUUAGACAGCAACAUCAUAUCAGCACAAUGUUUAUAAUCUAGUUGCUAGAUUUAUUUUCCUUUGUCUAUGGCUUUUUUAACAUUUUAGAUGUGGAAUCAACUUACUUUGCUUCUUGCAGGUGGCUGCCAUGUUAUCAAAGGGAACAAAUGGUCAUCUACAAAGUGGAUUCGUGUCCAUGAAUACAAGGUGUAAUUUACUAUGAUAGAGGUAAACUUUGAUACCUAGAUGAGCUUAUAAUUUUCACCAUGCUCAAACCCUAGCGGCUUGUUAUUUCUGCUAAUUUAGUAUUGCUUCCCAACCUACGCCAAUAUUUGCCUACAUCUCUCUAUGAUAUUUUAUGAUUUAUACAUCAGCAACAUAAUUACAUUGCCUAUACAUAAUCUUUGUUCCAAUCCGGUCUUCCACUCUCACAUGAAACAUAUUGCAAUUGACUUUCAUUUUGUGCACAAUCAAGUUGCCAAGAAGCUUCUUUUCAAGAAAAGGAAACCUUUUCUCACCUUUCUUACUUAAGAUAUGAAACCGGUUUCAUAGGCCACGUUGGCUAGGUUGAUCUUUCAUCAUCAAAUCAUGAGUUUCAUUCCAUUUCUGGAUCGCCUCAUGAGAGUCUAAAACUUUGCUAUCUUAUGCCCGAAAAGUGCUCUUCUUGAGCGAUCCAUUCUAUGAGCGGGGCAGCUAGUAGAGAGAAAAUCUCUAUCUUUUUAAGCCGGUCCCAUUGAUUUAAUUAAAGCUUGUUACGAGUUGCUUAAGUUCACGUCUUAUCAGCUUGUUGAUUCCUUAACCAUGCCCUUACCGCACAAGCUUCUACACAAUUAAAUUUGUCAUCAUAUACACGUUAUUUUUUGGGUAAUACUUACCUUGGAACUCGUGCAUCUAUAUAACGUGCGUGAGGGCUUUCUUUGUAAAGUUAGUUAUCUUGAAUGGUAAAUUCACAACUUCGAGAAUUCUAAAGCCUCUAGCAACUUUAGAACUCCUUAGACCCCCUUUCUAAACUUCAAAAGUAUGUUUGGUAUGCAUAACUAGAAAGGAUACGGACCAUACAGUACAAUAUGAUAGACAAGAUAUUAACUUAUUUUUCUUUUCUGACGCUGUCCAUCCAUUGAUGUACAAUGCAUCUUACGAGAUGAGGUAUUGGAAUAAAAGCAAAUAUGAUUGCAUUGCAUGGUUGAACUGUACUGAGUUGAAUGCUUUCUUGCAAAUUUGUUUUGAUGCGAGUGUAACAGUAAACAUCUCAAAACAGAAAGGACGACAGGUGGAGAUGUGCACAAUGAGUUUCUAGUGUUUAAAUAGUCCACUCGUUAGAAAUAGAUGGUUUCCAGAUGAUAUUGUGACCAUAUAAAAUCUUUUGCACCAAAGUUUUCCGUUGAUAAGAUGAUAUAUUUUUGACAGGAUAAAGAAGAGAUUCAGACAAAGUGAUUGUUGUACGAUUUUAUACAGUGGUGACGAGGAUUUCAGCAGCACUUUCAUCUGCACUUCAACUGACUGAGUUAAAGAUGUAAUGUUAUCCACAAUCAUGUACAACUAUCUCGGAUUACUGCUUUUUGUUGACAUCCCAUCUGUAGAAAUUAUCUUAUUGAAUAAAUAUGAUGGGAAUUUUCCAUAUGAAUUCACCGAUUAAUUAUUUCCGAGAAACAAGAUGUGGUGAGUUAAAAGUGAAUAUAGUUUUCUGUCAAGAGUGCCCAUUGCUGUUUAUUGACAUUUCCAUUUUGCUGUUUAUUGACAUUUUCCUUGGAACAUUUAUCUCAAAGCUAAGAUCUUUGGCCAGGAUCUCCCAUGUGGGUUAAAAACACAGGUAGUCGCUGAAUUUUUAGUGAAACUGCAUAUUAGUCAUUGAACUUUAUUGUGUUCGGAGUUCUUUAGUUUGUUCUGGGAUACGGAUGGAGUGAUCAACACAAAGAAAGUUGAAGUUCAAUGGUUAAUUUGGAACAAGAUAAAGUCUACAGAUCAACAUGAAAUUUUCUACAGUUUAGUAAUCAUAAAUGUAUUUAACCGUCUCUCAGGCCUUAUUGUACGAAGAAGAUGACAUGCUAUUUAUUUAUAUAUUGUUAUUAAUUUUGGAUAAAAAUGUUGUUAGUGACAGAACUUCAGUUUGAUCACCUAAAUCUUUUUGUUCCAACUUAUGGUAUGGUUAGGAUUUAGCAAAUGUUUAUAAGCAGUUUGAAUUACAAAUAAAUAGAAAUAAGUAAUGGAUAAGUGGAUACUACUUGUCAAUAUAUUGAGCGUGUGUUUGGGAGCGAUUCUUUCCAAAUUAUAAUGAGAAAUUCAUCCAUUAUCUACAGAAAAUGGGGCUCACAAUGUUGCAGCAUUUUUUGACUGCGUCGUUCAGUCAAUUAGAAAUUUUAGUGAAAAGACCAUGGUAUUCCUACAUUUUUAAAGUCCACACGAUUAUAACGACAUUUUUGACAUUUCAAAUACUAGGUGAAAGAUGGCUGCAGUUCUUGUCCCCUUUUUUUUUGCCAAUUUCCUUGUAGACGUGGGCCCAUUUACUGUGUUUAAUUGUCAAAAUUUUCAUUAAAAUUUGAGUGGAAUCGCUCCCAAACACUCGCUGAAAUGUGUGAAUUAAAAAUGAUUUGAGUGUUUAUAAACAUGAACCAACGUAGGCUACGUCUCCUAAGUUUGAUUCUAAAUUUGCUUUACAUCAAUCUGUUCACCUUCGUUGUAUACAUGAAAGAGAGAACCUAGAUGAAGAUAGAACAAGAAAAGACGAGUGAUCAAAGUGAAACUUCAUUAUCACUCUUUUUAACACUCAAUUUAAUUUACGUUUAAAUUGUCUAAUAGGACAGUUAGAAAUGCAUUUUCUGCAUCUCAUAAGACAAAAUUUAUCACUCGAUAGUAAUUAAUUUUCUAUUUUAUUUAAGAUGUCUAUGUUAUUGUUUGUCUUAAUUAUUUUAGCAAUGUUCUGAACCAUUGAUUCGAAAGAGAUAAAAAGUCAAGAGUCAAAUUGGUAAUAGAAAAUAUAAAAAUGUCACAAAAAGUUGACAAAAAUAUGUUAGUGUCUGAAUUAAUUAUUAUUUAUAUAGGCAAAAUAUCCAAUAAAAAAAAACAAUUUAACAUAAUUUUUCCCUUCUCUAUAGCAUCUCUACAUUAUCGUUUAUUGAACUUUUCAAAUUAAUAAACAAAUAAACCAUUAAUAGUAUAAAGAAGGCAAUAAAAAGAAUUCAGCUACGUGUACAGAAUUUUUUUUACAAAUAGGUUAAUAGAUGCAUGAAUAUUGAAAUCAAGGAUCAAUGUAAUAUUAUAAGAUUGAUUACGUAACUCCUCCGUUAUACAUUCAAAUUGAGCAAUUAGAGCAUCUCCAAUGGUGUGUAAAAUAGAGAUUAAGGUCCUGUUUUCUUUACCGUUUUCGAGCCGUUUUCUGCUUUUGAUUUUUCAAAAUGGUGAAAACAUGUUUUCUUUCCCAUUUUCGAAAACGAAAAAAAAAAUUGUGAAGAAAACACAAAACGACUUUUUUGUCAUUUUGGGCGUUUUCAGUGUAAAACUUGAAAAAAUUGAAAACGCGGGAAACGCCUUUUUCUGUUUAUUAUUAUUAUUUUUUUUUUGAGGAGGUGGUGUGAUGAUUCUCAAAAUUUAAAAAAAAUUAAAAAUUAAUUAAUUUUUUUUUUUUGGUGUUUUGAGGUGGUGUUGUGGUGAUUCUCAAAAUUUCAAAAAAAAAAAAAAAUCAUUUUUUUUUGUUUUGAGAAACUAACAAAAAGAAUGCAUUUUCAACAAUUUCAAAACAAAUACUCAAAACACAAAACUCAAAAUCAAUUCAAAACUCAAAAUACAAAACUGAAAUACAAAGAUAACACCCCUUUAGAUCUCCAAAGUGGUUGAAAAUCUCUCCAAUUAAGAUAUGCAAAUUGUAUUUUUUGGCAAAAAAAAAAUAAAUAAAUGUUAAUUUAUAUUUUUUUUACAUUUAUAUUUUUUUUACAUCCACAAGAAACAAAAAGUGAAUUUAUUAGAUCUUUUUAUGGAAACAGAAUUUGAAUUUAGUUUCACCGAAUGUGAAUGAAGAUGCAAAAUUUAUUUUGAAGAUACCAAUUUACACCAACACUGAAGAUGCUCUAACCACUACCAUAAAUCACACUUAUACUGUAAUAACUAGUAGUUUGCUAUUUGCAAGGGAAAAAUGGAUGAUAAUCCCUCCAUGCUUUACGAUUUACACACAAGCAUAUAAUUUUGUCCUUUUUGUUAUUUGAUUGUUAGAGGCGCUUCACGUAUAUUUCACCUAACAUUUUUAGAGAGGCACAAUUAUGAAUCAAAUCAGGAAAAGCUAGAGGAGCUUGAGUUCUAACUUUGAGCUCGAUGAUGUGAAUGCCUAUUCGGAUCAUUAUAAGUGAAUAUUUGAAAGUUAAAUGAUGAAAUUUCUAUUUAAUUUGAUUAAUAUCGAUUAUUGUAGAAUAUAUUUAUUUUUGGAUGGCUUUGAUCAAACGAAGUGAUAAUCGGCCAAAUAAGGGUGAAAAAGAAAGAAUUUUAAAGUUCAGGGACAAAUUAUAAAUUUUCAAAAAUUGAUAUUGAUUAAGGAAUGAAGAUUGAAGAUCAAUCAAUUAGAUGAAAUUAGAAGAAAAAUGAUAAAAAUUGGACGAAGAAAGGACCUAAGUUGAACAAAGGAGCAAAAUUGAGGACCAAAAUGAGAAUUUUCCCAAGUUAUAGGGGUGCGAUAGCAUCACCUAUGAUUGCAACCCCUAAAAUUCAACAGCACAUCUGGAAGAAACAUGCCUUUGUGAUUGCAGGUUGUAUAUCUAUUUGAACGCACAAUAGACUAGGCUAAUUUCCCUUUUCGAUGCAAACACUCUAUGGAAUUCAAUUGAAUGUGAAUUUUGAUCUAAUUCAAGUUUCUAGGAAUCCAGAAUAUCAUACAACAUUGUAGGAUGCCUCUGAUAUCAUACCAUACAUAAAAUCUUAUAAUCAAGGGAGGCCAAUACUUUUUUUUUGGGAGAAAUCAAGAAUCAAGAUACCAGAACUCUAUCCUUUGAAAAUUAUUUUGGAAAAGAAAAGGAGGGUGAAGUUGGAGAUCAAUCAAGAACUAUUGAAGAGGUUCAAGAUUUCAUGAUUCCUCUCUGUUUUCUUCAUACAUCAAAAAUUCGGGUGAUGUCUUACAAACCAAAUAUGAAUUCUUGUAACUUUGUAAUGCUAAUCUAGAUUUUCAGUUGCUAAGACAUAAAUGAACCCUUGUCAUGAAUUUUUAAUAUAAUUUUCAAUACAUGGACGCCUACUAUGCAUUUAAUGCUUUUCAAUUACUUAAUCACUCGAUAUUCUAGAUAUCCAUUCAUUUGAAAAUACUAUUAGCUUGUGUUGGGUCGACACUUAAAAUUUAUCAUUUUUAUCUUUUUGACAAAUUGGGCAUUGGCCCUAUUGAGUGUUGUGAUUUUGAAUAUUAUCGAUUUUGGUUCAUUUUCGUGUUUCAAGAUUAUGUCCACAAGCUACAAACACAACAAUUCUUUCACUUAGGGUUGGAUGAACUUGAAGAAGAAGUAAGCUUGAAGACUCGAAGUGAUGCUUGAGGAUUCAACCAUAGUUCUUAGUUUCCUCUUCUUCUUUUCCAACAUUCUCAUGUUGUUUUUAUAUAUUGUGUGGCUAAAUUCAAAGUUAGGACAAAUGAUAUAUAGCUAGUUUUAAUGGUUAUAUUUCUAUUUUUAAAGUGUCAUAAUAAAGUACUUCCUCCAUUCCAUUUAUAUAGAUUGACUUUCCUCAUUUUAUUGUCCUAUAUAUAUAGUCAUGUUUCUUUAUUGAGAAAGUAUUUGUUUAUUUGUUUACUAAUAUGCCCUUAUUAAAUUUGCCUGUCAAUUUCUCCCGCUUAGAGCAACUUUAAGAGGCUCUCUAUUUUUAAAGAAUAUAUUCUAUCAUCUAAAGAGCAUCUAUAAAUUUAGAAAGUUAAAAUUUUAAAGUACUCGAACAAACUCUUUUUAUUUAACACUUAGUUUUAUUACUCUCAAAAAAAUAUUUAUUAUUUUUCUCUAUUUUUAUUUUAACUAGUUUUUCUCUAGAUUUUAUUAUUAUUUUUCUACAUUGAAAAUUAAAGCACUUUGAAUGUAUUUAAUUAUAAAGAGUGAAUUUAACUUUUCAAAUUUGGAGAGCCAAAUCCACUUUUUAAAUUAAAGUGUUAAUUUAAAGAAUCUCUUAGGGCAAUAUAUUAAAAGUUGACUCUUUAAAAUAGGGAGCAUGUCAUGUUUAAAGAAUCUCUUGAAAAUACUUGUAAUCUUAAAAUUGUACAGAUUUUAAUUUACCUUGGAAUUAUCCAAAUACAUACACACAUUUUUCAUUCUUCUUGAAAAUAUAGACAAAAACACAUUAUAUACUACUAAUUGUUGAUAAUUAAAUAAAGGUAAAAUAUAAAAAUUCUUUGCAAUUUUUUUCAAUAAUAUUAAAUGAAAUCUCUUAAUUAGUGUAAAAAACAAAAUCAACCUAUAUAAAUGGAAUGGAAAAAUAACAUAUUUUUGUGACUCUCGUUUCCUUUUGUUGAGUUUAAUGUUUGAUCACUAUUUGAAUGAUUUGUGAUCUAUAAUGAGAUUGGGAGGAGAUUUAUAAGUUUCGACUAAAACAACUAAAACCAUAAGUUAAGGGUCUAUUUGUGCCCCUUUAAUUUCAAAAAGUAUAUUAUGAAAUAGUGAUCAAUGUUGAAGUGUGUGGUUAAAAAAGAAGAAAUUUUUUUAUUUCCGUAUAAUAUUAUUUUAAUGAAGAAUGUGUGGUUGAAAAAUGAGUAUUAUAGAAAAAAUAAUGUGGUAGAAUGGUGAUGUGAAAUAUAAGACUAAUACUCCUAUAGUUUUUGUAAUCAUUUGAGAAUUUCUUAGCCAUUUAAUGCACUUUGUUUUAUCGUUGUUCACAUAGAAAUAAUGAAGUCAUAUAAUUAGGUAGACUUCAAUUUAUUUGAGAUAAAUUAUCGAAUAAAAUAGAGAAAUUCGAUGUAUUGCAUAAUAGUAUACUGUCAAAGUCCAAAAGGUGAAAUUUAAUUGAGUAACAUCUCAAGUUCAUUAAUUCCGACCAAUACUUAUUUUUAUUUGCUUUACAUUAGACUAGUUCAAAAUCGUGUAUAAACCCACGUUUGACUAAUGUUUAUAAAUGAUUCAUAAUUCAUCCAAUCAUUUUUUAUCUACACAUUUCAUGGAAUCUACAAAUACUAUAUAUUUUUGUCUCAACUCAUUUUAUUUAUUUAUAAUUUAAAUAGUUUAUAAACACUUCCUGUUUACAAGCUAUAAAAUUGAUUGUUUAAAUAAAAAUUAGGAUUAUAAGUUUUUGUACCUGAUGAUGCAAAAAAUUGUACCUGUUGAUUUCUCGAGAUUGAGGACUGAGAUCGAGCACGAAUGGAGCAUUCCAGUACCUGAAACAAAGGCAAAGAGGUAUGUUCUCGUCGCCCCUCCAAUGCUUAAGUCAGAAGGGGAAAUUAUGUAAAAGUAUGUAUUGUAAUUGUAUUAUAAAAACAUACCUGAAUAAUAGGGCUAAGUCUUGUAUUUAUAGACGUUGGUGGUUGAGUUGUAGAAGGAUUCAACCAUUUAGAGUCUUUAUCUUCAUCAGAUAGAGUACUUGAGUUAUAAGAGGACUAAAACACGUAAAAUUCUAGAGACGAGGACAAUAUUUUGGCAUGUGAGCCUGACCUUAGCCGGGCCAGAUUAUUAGGCCCGACUUCUAAGAGGCGCGACCACUUUUUAGAGGAUAUUUGAAGACGAGAGUGGUCGAGAUAUUGACCUCGGGCCAUGCUUGAAAGUUCGGGGUCGGUUAUAAUUUUUGUACACAUCAUAGGCCCCUUUGCAUCCGUGUCAGGAGCUCAUGCGCAAUGUGGGAGUUUCUGGCAUGAUAUGCAUAAGUAUAUUAGGUUCUAGAAUAGGCAUGCUCAUGUCGAGUCGAUAGGCCCUCGAGGACAUAGGUCUAGGAUAGCAAGUAUUGACUAUUUAAAAUUUGAAAGGAAUGAGCUCAAUCUUAAGGCUUAUUAGAAAAUUUGAAAGAAAGGACUUGAUCCUGCCCUUGUUGAAAUUUUUGAGAGAAUUCGACUUCGACCUUGUAAAAGAAUUUGGCAUGAAUGAGUUCAACCUCAAACUUUAUCAGUACUUGAAGUGAAAGAGCUUGACCUCUACCUAGUUUAGAAGUUGAAAAUAACGAGCUCGACCUCGAGCUUUGUUAAAAGUUUUGGAAGUAAUGAGUUUGACGAAUAGACAAAGUUUCAUAUAGGAGGCUAAGUGGAAGCUCAAUCCUAUUCUGAAUAUAUUUAUCUCAAGCUUGUUGGCUGGGGUUUGACAAUAAUUUGAGCUCCAGAAUAUAGCCCGAGUCCAGUGUGAAAUAAUAUCUCGAGCUCUUGUGGCUGGGUUUUUAACAAUGCGUUGAGCUCGAGGAUAGGCCCCCGAGCCAAACGUGAAAUAAUAUUUCGAUCUUUGCUCUGAUGAAUUUGAGAAUAGGUCGAGCCUGGCAAGCUCGGGAUAGACCAUGAUCGGGUUUUUUACUUGAUGCAUUGUGAGACUUAGAUGUGCUUGUGUGGGACAAGACUUAGGUGCUUACGCAUGAUAUGGCUUUUGUUGGUGCUUACUCGUGAUAGGGUUUUUGUGCUUGCAUGGGGUAAGGCUUUGAUGCCUACGAUGGAUAGGGCUUUUGUGCUUGCGUGGGACAAGGCUUAGAUGCCUGCGCGGGACAGGAUUUUUGCGCUUGCGUGGGGCAAAGCUAUUGAUAGUGCCUGUGCGGGACAUGGCUUUUGUACUUGCGUGGGGGUAAGGCUUUGAUGCCUGCGAUGGACAGGGCUUUUGUGCUUGCGCGGGACAAGGCUUAGGUGCCUGCGCGAGACAUAGCUUUUAUAUUUGCGCAGGGCAAGGCUAUUGAUAGUGCCUGUGUGAGACAAGGCUUUGAAGUGCCUGCUUGGGAUAGGGCUUUGAUGUGCCUGCUCGAGGCAGGGCUUUAAUGUGUCUGCUUGUGACAGGGCUUUUGGUGCCUGCGCGAGAUAGGGCUUUGUGUUGCCUGCUCUUGACAGGGCUUUGGUGUGCCUGCCCGAAGCAUGGCUUUGUGUGCCUGCGCGGAACAGGGCUUUGUGGUGCCUGUACGGGAUAGGGCUUUGAGGUGCCUGCACGAAGCAGGGCUUUGUGUGCUACACGGAGCAGGGCUUUGUCGUGUCUGCACGGGACAGGGCUUUGAGGUACUUGCACGGAGCAAGGUUUUGUGUGCGGGCUUGAGGUGCUUGCGCGGAGCAGGGCUUUGUGGUGCCUGCACCGGACAGGGAUUUGAGGUGCCUGCGCGGAGCAGGGCUUUGAUGGAACACUUAGUGUGAGUGAACCAAAUGUUAUUGUAAUUCAUAACCAAAUAAUCAUACCAUAAGCAUGAGCAUUGAUAACACCAAAAUAUAUGCUUUUCAAGGAUUAAAACACAGAUCAUGUAUGUUGUGUGAUUGGUGUCUUUUAAAUAUCCAUAAUAUUUAUUUUGGGAUGUACGCAUGAGCUACUAUUCUAAUCUCAACUAAUUAUGAUGGUUUGCUCCACAUUAGUAACAAUGUAAAAGAUAUAGGCAAGUAGUGGUUCUAUAAUAUUUUCAAUGCAUAGCCUUUGAUUAUUAAUUUGUAAAUCAAUAAAAUCAUUAAAAAUUCCAACACUUAUUUAACGUAACAAAUCAUUUGCUUAAGUACAUUCAUUAAUUUAGAAUUGCAAAGUUUCCAUUUUUCGUAAUGGUGAUUAAUUCUUGAAGCUAUGGCCUUCGAGUGAUGUAAAACUCAGUGAAAUUAUUUAAAUGUCCUGAAUUGGUGUCCAAUUAAAACUUUCCACGUGAAUUAUUGAUAUUUUUCAUUUUGUUAACUAUUGUCAACAGGCAAGGGAUGAAUGCAAAGAAUUUUACUUGAAGGAAAGCUCCCAUUUUAUAUUUUUAUAAUUAAGUGCAUGCAUAUUCCCAUAGACUAGGUGAAACUACAUUAUAUUUUCCUCUCCAUAUCAAUGCAUAAAUGGCUUGCUAUCAAAAUGUGAACGUGUUAAGAAAAUGAAAAGGCUAGCAUGGUCACAUAUCCAUAGUUGAAUUGCUUGAAGAAUAUAAAUUUGCAGUAGAAUAAAAAAGUGAAUACCACUGUUAGGUGAAAACAUACUCGGGUUUAGAGCUGAGUGCUGCGUAUUUUCAUGGUAAAACCUUUACUUAUUCGCAUUAUUUCCAGUUUGCGUGCACUUGCAAAAAAUAAUUCCUUUGAGAUGACUGAGAUUUGUAUCACAUCCAUGGUACCAUCAAAAGUUAUUGCAACACAUUUCAAACAUCUUUCACAUUUUGUCGCAAACAACUUCUUGGAGCCACUAAAUUUAUGUCAUUAUCUCAAAGAAUAACCACGGUUAAGUAAUUGUGAGGGGUAGGGAAUCCAGCUUCAGCUAGCAUUUUUUAUUAUAUUUUAUCAAUUGGCCUAAGUCAAGUAAUUGUAGCAGCUAAGAGGAGAAAACAGAUCAAGGAGAAAAAGAAGCAUGCAGGGAACUGGAAUGCUUCAUCUGGGCCCAACGAUGCAAUAAUAAUGCAAAGCCCAUAAUGAAGACCUGAAAUAGAAACUAUAGGGUGUUGGUAUGUCCAAUUUAGCAUUGUAGCAUAAGGUAAUUAUUGUGAUCCAAAAUGGGGGAAGGCAAAACCAAUAUCGAGGCAGACAAUAGGCCCAAAAUCUUUAGGUAUGUUGAAAAGUUAGUAGGCCCAAAAGAAUUAGUGCAGCCUGACAUUGAAUAGGCAUUUUACCCGAAUUCUUUGGCUCAAUUUAUGUAAAAUUUUGGCCCAAUUCACUAUUCAAAACAGGUUGAAUUUUGGCAUAUAUUCCCAGACCGACAAAUUGGAGUUGUAGAAAAUGAUACACGGUUCUCCAACGACUAUUCCACUUGGGUCCUUUUUGUUUUGCAUGAAAAACAACGAAAAUUCUUCUCCAAAAGCCAAUAGAGAGAUAGGAAUCGAGGAUUUUCACAGUAAACUCCAAUUGUAAAACGAAACAUGUAUUAUCUUUCGUGUUAGGAGAGAUAAUGAAGAGAGAAAAGAGAGGACGGAAAUUGAACCGAAUGUUACAAAUGAAGAAAACACCUCAUUUUGACGAUGGCUUUAUUAUGCAACGAAGAUGAUCGGGUUUGCACAAGAACUUUGUGUUGAGAAAAAUGUAGGAAAAUCUGAAAAGUUAAAGAACUCCAAGGCACGAAAAAAUGUUAUCUUUUAAGAGAUGUUUUUCCCCUAUCCAACAAAGUCACAAUUGGGGUAUAAUAGAAAAUCUCUCUCAGAAUACAAUGGAUGUGUUUGAUUCAAACUGUGACUAUUUGAUCAAACCAAGAAGACACUAAAAAAGAACUGAUUUAUGCCAAGAGAAAGAAAGAAGAAUAAUAUUUUAAUGUGUUUGCAAAUGAGAAAUCGCCCAGAAUUUAUAGAAACUGAGGCAAUUGUUUGAAUAGGUGUAUCCCUUGAAAUCCUUGCGUACAGCUAUUGGAAGUGACUGUUGAAAAUGAACAGAUGCAUCUAUUCAAAAAACACUAAUCCAGGCGGCAAAUCAUUCGCAAAACAAAAAAUUAAACACAUGCAAAAUAAUGAAAAAUAUCUAACACUUUGGAGGCAGGGAUGAAUGAUUUCCACACGCCGAUCGGAAUGACACUACCAUCGGCAAUCGUGUAGGUAAACAGUAAACUGAUGUUGGAAGUAUCCCGAUGAAUUAUGAAUUCCAUUGAUGUUUAUUGGAGUGAUCUUUCUUCAUUCUGGAGUUUGUUCAAAAGGAGAUCAGAAGCAAGAAGAUUGGAUUUGAGAACAGGGUUUUUGAAUUCGGUCCCAUUUUAAUUUGAUUUGUACAUUUUUUUUGUCUACGUUGGACUUUGAAAUCAUUCAGAAGGCAGAAACAUCUCUUCGAGCUUCUUGGUUGAGGAAUUGUCUGAAAUUAUUGUCCUUCUAGUGACUUUUUGAAUGUGGUAAAAACAUGGUUAAUGUAUCGCUUUCCAUAGACGGUGCCACUGAUGAUGUAAAAAAUUGUACCUGUUGAUUUCUCGAGAUUGAGGACUGAGAUUGAGCACGAACGGAGCCUUCCAGUACCUGAAACAAAGGCAAAGAGGUGUGUCCUCGUUGCCCCUUCAAUGCUUAAAUUGGGGAAAUUAUGUAAAAGUAUGUAUUGUAUAAAAAUACCUGAAUAAUAGGGUUAGGUCUUGUAUUUACAGACGUUGGUGGUUGAGUUGUAGAAGGAUUCAACCAUUUAGAGUCCUUAUCCUCAUUAGAUAGAGUAAUUGAGUUAUGAGAGGAUUAAAACACGUAAAAGGCUCGAGAUGAGGACAAUAUUUUGGCAUGUGGGCCUGACCGUAGCGGGGCCAGAUUAUUAGGCCCGACUUCUAAGAGGCCCGACCACUUUUUAGAGGAUAUUUGAAGACGAGAGUGGUCGAUGUAUUGACCUCGGGCCAUGCUUGAAAGUUCGGGGUCGGAUUAUAAUUUUUGUACACAUCAGUACCUAAUUACAUAGUCUUGUGAUAACAUUACUUUACUUGUCACUUUCGUACUUUCCACCGUAUCACACACUAAUGAUUUUCAAGCGAAUACUAACUUAUCUCAAGUGAACAUACAAUUUUUUUUCUUUUUUAAUUUUGUUCUGAGAUGUCAAAUGCAGGGUGCCAUUUCCUAAGCAAAUAGCAAUUGUAAGUGCAUCUAAUAUACGUUUCUUACCUGUAUUUCUUGUGUGUAUGAGGUAGAUGUUAAGGGGAUUGAUCCACAAAAACUAAAGAGAAUGGGGUUGAGAGAGUUAAAUGCGAUGGUCCACCUUACUGCAUUGGUAGUCCCAGUUAUAAAUGCUCUGUGCACUCUCUUCUCAUCAAAUCCUUAAAUUUCCUCCAAGCAUUCCCAACCUCCCCCCUCCAGACAUAUACACACAGUAUAGAGAUAGAGAUAGAGACCCUCUUCCUGAUAUUCAAAAACAAUGGCGGUUCGUGUCUCUUUAGAUGUAUUUGUAGUCUCUGAAAUGAAUGAGAGAGAAAUUAGGGUUUCCGUGAAGGAAUAUAUGGAAACAGUAACAGUGAUAUUGGCCUGGUUCAAUCAGAUUUGAUUUUAUUAUGAUUUGAUUGAGCCGUGCCAAUAUCUCUGUUCUUUUUCAUUCCAUCUUCAAAUCCAAAUUCUUGAAAAGGUUCUUGUUCUAUAAUGAUUCAGCAUAUAAAUAUUUUGGAACUAUUUUUAGGGUUUCUGAGUAUUUCUUUGUUUCAGUCUCAGAAAAAAGGAUAAAACACAAUAAUAAUUUUUCUUUUUCUUUCUUAUUUAUUUCAGUCUCUUUAUUAAAUUUGUGACAUUUCAUUUUCAGGCUGAAUUAGGUUAUACAUGUCUAGUAGUUAAUAGAAUUUUGUAAAGGACAUGUUUGCUAUUCUGGGAACUAAAAUAAGACAAUUUAGUGUUGUCGAGUCCAUUUUGCAUUUAACUAGUUAUUCGAGAUCUUUGUAUAGUUUCUUCACUAUUAUGCAUCUUUUUCCAGAAGUUACAAAAAUUGGGACUUUUAGCACUUAAUCUGAAAUGAUCUUUGAGUUUUGCUUAACACUUGAUCUGAAAUUCUAUUCGGUGCCCCAUUUUGAUGGCAACUUCAAUUUUUUUCUUCUAAUUUUCAUAGGUUUGCAAACAUCAUACUUAUAAACCACCUUUAUAAAACGAAUUAAGCUAGUCUACUAGGGAAAUUUUAUCUACCUCCUUGACAGGUACUCACAUGGUUGUGGGACCCGAGGUGAUUUUAAAAUGCAAAAAAAAGGGCCCAACGACCCCAAAUGUGAGAGUAGGUCAGGGAGGGUGUCAAAAUCCUCCCUGGCACAACAGCACGGUUGUUAUAAAACACGUCUGAUGUGUUUGUCAUGUCAUAUCAGAACGUACAAUGGGCGACUUUUAUUCAAUGUGGUGGUGUUAAUUAAUAUCCAAAUUAUGUUAAAGACAUCAUACUCUUAUAUCAUACUAUAUAGAGCUGAUUUCCUCGACCUGUUAAGGUAAGAUUUGGACAUUAUAAUUCAUGUUCACUGUGAAUAGGAAUCAUUUCUAUAAUACUACAAUCCUAUACAAGUCAUUCUUACAAUAGGAAAUAGCACCAUUUUUACUACUAUUCACUAUAACACAGUAUAUUGUUUAUGUAAUUGUUGCAUAAGCUUUGGGUAUCUCAACCCUCUUUGAAUAAAUUUGUAGCUCAAUUUCAUUCUUUAUAUAUGUAUAAAUAUUAACCCGGAACAUUUUGGGUGGUUUUUUUCAUCCUUUCGAAUGCUUAGUAUUUUGUCCAUCUUUAAAACUCAAAUUUGUUAUAGAGCUACAUUCCAAGAUUGAAAUUGAGGUCUAUGAUUAACUUAAGUUGGAAUAUAAUGUUCCAAUCUUUCCCCUUAUCAUAAGAUUAGCAAUUACCUCAAUUGAAAAUGGUACAAACACUCAUUCCAUUUGACAGUUUCUAUCUUGUACCCAUUCUACUUUCAUCUAUGUUCAAAAAUUUAAGCUACAGGCAGGAAGAAAUUUAUUUAUUUUUUCUCUCAACCAAUUAAAUGUACCUCCUUGGCAAUUUGCUAUAAAAUUUCUAAAAUCUUGUCAAAAUUGGGUAUUAGAGUUGGAUCUUGCUGCGAGCAUUUCUCGAACAGUUCUGCAAGCUUCGGGUGAGUGUUCUUUGGAAUGGUCAGCCUCAAACCCUGAUUGCCACAUCAAUUUAAGUGACCAUUACUAUCAAGUUAUUAAUAUUUUAGCGGUAUUUCAAGUUCACAUUUUGUUCUCAGUAUUUGGACAAAAGUAUACAGUAUAACUUUUUUUUUUUCCCUUUUGCAGUAAUAUCCAUAUCUACUCUCUUCUCAAAUCACACGUCUUUCUAUUUCUUAUCCAACACAAAAUAAGUAAAAACCAGUUGCCAUCUCUCCUGGUCUCUCUACCCUCUCUCUACAUAUAUGUACAUAUGCAUACAAAUUGAACUUGUAAUACAUUGUUUAUAUAAUACGACAGGAAAUUACAGAAAUCUCUUGAAAAUUAUAGAAUUAGAUACCAUUUUUCAUUUAUAUUUUUUCAAUUAAAACGUUUAAAAUAGUUUUUGCUUGGGAAUGCUUAGUCUUGAAUUCAAUGAAAAAACUUAUUAAUUUUAUUCGAAAUACUGAUAUUAUAACAUUGUAGAUUGUUUAAGUAUGUUCAAGAACAUUUAAAUGUGGCUUCACUGCUUUCUUCUUUUUGUGUGUUCUAGUUUGAACUGAAAACUUUGAUAGAUGAUUAUUAGGGUCUGUUUGAUUGUAAAGAUGGAAUUUGGGUGGAAAAAAAAUGAAUUCCAGGAAAUUGAAUUGCCUAGAAAUUGUUUUCUUAGGAAUUGUAAACUAUUGUGUUUAAUUGGUAUAAUUUUCCACGUGAAAAAUGUUGAAAUAAAAGUGUUUUUUUGGUGUUCGUUUGGUUUGGUUUUACAUGAAAAUUGUCAAUUAAAGUGAUAUAUUUUACUGAUAUUGAGGAUGAAAUUUGUUUCCAUUACAAAAAAAAAAAAAAAAUCAAGAAAAUCUUCUAUCUUUUGAUGUUCGUUUGACUUUUUUUUACAUUGAAAUUGCCAAUUAAAGAAAAAUAUUUUUUUACAAUAAUUUUUAGAAUUUGUUUCCUUUGCUAAAAAAAAAAAAAAAAAAAAAAAAAAAAAAAAAAAAAAAAAUUGGAAAAAAAAAUGGGAGCCAAACGGGUAUUAAAUCUAUAUUUGAAACAAUGAUUGAAAUGCUAAUUGAGGAGAUAUUCGAUAUGUUUUGAAUUCAAUUUAGUCCUGUUUGGUAUCGAUUAAAAUCAAAUUUUUAAUAGACUUUGAUAAAAAUUGAUGAAAUAUAUGAUUGAAACGUUAUAGAACCCAUAAAAUAUGAUAUUGAAAUGAAUUGUUGAUUUUGACUUAAAUUAAAAUAUAAUUUUAGUCGACACCAAACAAGGGUUCAAUAACGACAAGGUUAGACCUUUCAGCUCACUCUUUAUUUUUCAAUAAACAAGAAAGAAAUAAACGAUAAUCAUCCUAGGAUUAGAUGCAUGAUUCUUCAAAAGUGAGAAACACUUUCUAGAACAACAAUGUUAAUUGCAAUGUAUAAAUUGAAUGUGUUUAUCAUACAAAUACAAUUUUUAUCAAUGAAAAUAUAAAGAUGUCACUAAUAAACCACAUGUUAUGUCCCAACAAUUUUACCUAAUUAGGCACCGGUCCUUGUCGUUUAUAAAUUUAUAUACUUCGAUCGGGAAAUAGGGCAAUCCUUCAGCUUGUUUAUUUUGCUAAUCUACCCAAUUUUUCACAAUUGUAUCGAUAGUAUUCCGUUUUUCUUACCAUCUAUUAUCAUGAGUGAAAUUAAUUAAUAUUAUUAAAGUUGUUCACGAAUAAAAAUCAAUUAAGGAGCAUUGGAAUUUUCAUUUUGUAGCAAUUGAAUAAAAUAUCUUCGUUUUUGGAUAUUUCUUCCAAUUUAUAUUGUCUAUUGGCAUUGAUAUUUAACAGUGAUCAUUGAUUGUUCGUAUUCUUAUCAGUUUAUUUAAUCAAUUUUUAAUUUAUUUAUUCAUAUCAUUUUUCUCAAGGCUUUUGCUUGUCAAAUAGGGACAAUUGACCGGCCUUAUUGAUAAGGUCGAAGUGUUGGCCAUUGAUUGAAUCUCACUUUGUUUCUAUAGCAGGUUUCUUUUCUCAAUUUAAAAAAGCAUGUGAUAGUUUGAAUUUUGAACUGAAAGCACACUUGGAAGAUUUAAAAAUAUCCAAAAUCUUGUUUUUACGUUUAAAAAAGGGAUUAGUUCUAGCAUGGUUUGAAAACAACUAAAAUGUUAAUAUAUUAAUCCAGGUCCACCUCAAGUCAGCCGCCCGCCAAAAGGGACGAUUAAAUUUUGAAAAUCACAUUUUGCUUCCUAGAAAAAAUAACUUGGAGCACAAGAUAGAUAGUUAUAUUAAGCCACCGUUUGUCAUUCAUUUUCUCUCAUUAUUUUUCAUUAUUUUUUUUAUAAUACUUAUUUUCAACAAAUCUAAGCUAAAUAAAAGACACAGGUUCUUUGUUAAAUAUAUGAAUAAAUCUGUGUGUACAGAUUUGUGCUUCAAAGAAAAUAUAUAGGGCACUCACAAACGCGUGGCCCCACCUGAAUAAACAAUGGCAAAAAAUUAACCCAUCCCCUUCAUGUGAGGUGUCGGUAAAACCCCUAUCUGUAUACCAAGCAGCCCUUUAAAUAUAUUUACCAAAAUCCUUGUCAGAAGGAAGUCUCCACGUAAUUGAAAUGUUUGGGAUCCAACACUUUCGAUGACAAAGUCGAAUGGAAUUCAACUUUUUUCUCAAAAACAAGUUGGCAUGUGAAUUUAUAAAUUUGUAGAGUAAGAAUCCUUCUUUUUACAGGUUCAAUAAUUCUUCUGUUACAUAGUCGCUAUCAUAAUGUGGACUAUAGGUAACGACCUAGUUCUAAACUCAUCUUGAAAAUAGCUAUUUUUUCGAUAAUUUUGCAUUGUUGUUGUUUAUUGAUGUGGUGUAGAAGAAAUUAGGCUUUAUGAAAAAGUGGAACCGGCGUAGGCAAAAAUAGGCAACUUUCCGAUUUUUGGAGAAAUUUUGGGGUCGUCUGUUUUUUUGUGAAAUUUUAGUCAAAUUUGAUGGGAAACGAACCAAUGAACAAGACCCAGGAGCAAAGCUCCUGACGUAGGCCCAAUUUCGGGCAAAUUCUUUCAUUUAGACCUUCGUUUAUGCAUUUUUUCCUUUUUUGAUAAAUUUUGUUUUGGUUAUAUCUCUAUCAAUUGAAGUCAAAUUUGAAUUCUAUUUGUUGAAGAAUAACCCUUAAGAUUAAGACUUUCAAUUUUAAUUAUUAUCUUGAUUUUCUUACAUUUUUUGGGGAGAAAAAUCUUUUUUUAAAAUUAUUUUUUAAUUUUCCCGAAAUUUUCUAGGGUUUUCCCUAUAUAAAACAUUGAAGCCCUUUGUGGCUGCAUUGAUUGACACAAAAAAAAAAAAAUAAUAAGAAAAAAGAAAAAUCGUGAAUUUUUUAUUUUGUGAGAUUUGUUCUUUCUUAUAACCUUUCGUCGCGUCAUUUAUGAUGAAAGAUAAGAGUGAUGUAUCUUAGUUACUCAAUACGAUGACAGAAGAAAUUCUAAUAUAAAUAAACAAUACUUUGGAUAGUAAAAUUAAAAUUGGCCAAAAAUAAAAUUUGUUUUUACGAGUUCUUUUUGUUAAGGACCAAAUCUUUCGUGUCAAGACGAAUAUCUUUAAUGAACAUGCACAAUCAAUGGAAUUAAAAAAAUAAAAAGAAAAUUAUUCCGUCUUUCUUUGGUUUAACUAAAAAAGUUCAUUGAAAUUUAAGUCAUAACCAAUAAUUAAUUUUACACAUUUCAUAAGAUUCAUAACUUUAUAAACUUUUCUAAAUUAAACGGAACUCAGUAUUGUAUCAGCGUUAUUAGAAUUAGACCGAUCAGCCGAUUGAACCAAAAAUAAUUGGGGGCUGGCCAGAAAAUUGGUCCAAUUAUGCUCGUAAAAUAGUUCAUUCAAAAAUCAACGUCAAAACAACUAAACCAACCGAUUAAUCAUAAACCCACGAUUCGAAAACGAUUUUUACGAGUUGAAUGGUUAGAAUCAAGUUCCAGAAAAAGAAAAAAAAAUUUGACCAUUUUUCAAUUUCUUUAUAGAUCUAGAAGUAAUCCUUGAUCUUUUCACCACUCGAAAGACAUUAUUCAAGCCCCAGAACACCCUCUCUUGGGCAUCCAUGCAAUGUCUGACUUUUGACAUCACAAAUAUCUACAUACAUCCGUACUGGAUCUUAUGGUCAGUAGUACCAUUUUUUUAUACAGAGGAUCCUUAAAGAGACAAUUGUAUGUAAAACAUAUUCAUGAUGACUCAAAUCUUGUUCUUAUUACUUAUCUUAAGAUUAUCACAAUCAUCUAAAAACUAAGGAAGAAUGGGAAAAAACUUAGAAACUCAUGGAGAUAGGAAACAGACUUCUUAAUUUAGGAAUAAAGUUACUUUUUUAAAGGUAUGUUUAUUACAAGCAAGUUAUUCCUCUUCCGGAUGGCCUCAAAUACAAAUCCUAUUUUUUACCAGACCAACCAAAAAAUUUUCUAUAACCAAUCCUGACAACAUAACAAGGUUGUUCACAUUGAAAUACUUCGAUACGAAUCUCAAAGAAUUCCAUUACAAUACAGUGAGCAAAGGGUGGUGUUGAAGUAACAUAAUGAUCCAAUGACAAACAUUAUUUCCUAGUAUUAUUUUAUCGCCUCAAGAUAACUCCUAACUCCCAAUGUCAUCACAUAAGCAUAAGCCAAUUAAAUAGUAUAUACUAUAUCUCCAGAAUAACAACAUGUAUAUAAAGCAUAGAAAAUAACACAAGGUUACUCCAACAAUUCAGGUUGGCGGUCUACCAUGUUUAUGUGCUUCAAAACGAGCAGCAAGCAUGUCAUAGUCGGGCAAUUUGGGAUGCACACGUCUAACUGGAAACUGUUCCUGUGUAGGCAUAUUGGGUGGAAAAUUAGUUCGUCUUAGAAACUCAUCCGCCUCAUCUGGAUCAUCAUCACAAUCAGACUCAUCAAACUUGAUAUCUGAGGGUCCAGUUGGAACAGUGUAGUUGUCGCUUUGCGUUCUAUAGAUCUUUCUGUUAUCCUUAUCAGUAGUUUCUUUGGCCAACUUUGGAACACCACUUGUUGGUUCUUCCAUCUCGAUUUCUUCAUCAUAAUCCGAUUCUUCGUACUUAAUAUCUAAAUGUGCCGACGGAAUAUUAUAGCUAUGUCUUCUCUGCGUACUUUGAGCUUCGACGUCAUGGGGCCUCAUCUCUGCCCCCCUGAGACUCUGAGAAUUCCCAUAACUACUGUCCUUCAUACUCUUUUGGACAGCAUAUCUGUUACUCGUAGCACGAAAAUUACCUGACACAUUUGCCUCUCUGUUGGCGAGAAUGGCAGCUGCUUCAGCAGCAGAAGCGGCUUUCUUUGCAAAAUUGGCAGCUGCUUCAGCAGCUGAUGCUGGGUUUUCAUAGUGCAAAAUAUUGCUCUGUUCAUUGUUCAAGCAUCUAUUAUCCAGGGUAAAAAAUUGAAAAAUAAGCUAAUUAUGUCAAAUAUUCAAGUGAAAUUUCACGUUUGAAAGAAAUAUGACUAGUUUCAAAUGCUAUCCUCUUAGAAAACAAAUUACCUGCGUGUUAAAAUAUUUGGCUCAGGAGAUUUCUCGGGGAUUGACUUCAAAGGUAAGCUACUGGCACUUACAAAGUUGUUUGGUCCUUCCUAAUACAAAAAAGAGAGUAGCGAUUAAUUGAAGUAGAUAUAGAAGAUUAUAUUUACAAAUGUGAUUUAGUGCAAACUUUUGGAUUUUGUGCAUGCGUGGGUGAGAGAGAGUCAGAGAGAAGAUAGAGACUAUAGGUUUUUCUGGAGGCUUAAGUAGUUCGGUCUCCGAUUCUGUUGUAUCCCAAUUAGCCUGAUAUUCUUUUGCUAUUUCCUUCAAAACUUUCAACUUUGUUUCACCAGUCGGGGACCGUAUCGAGAGCUUUUCAAUGAGCUGAAACAGAAAUCAAUAACUCAGACAAAGAACAAGAAUUACACACACACAAAUAUUUAAACAAUGAGUCACUUAUGAUGAAGCAUUUGCAAAAAAGAAAACAUAUCUUAAAGUAUGUUAUUUUUCAGCUCUCGGCAAUUUGAGUGUAAACUGAAUCUGUUUUAUAGAAGCCUACAGUUGAAGGUUAGGAAAAAAUACCGUGCGAUUAACACCAGCAUUGGGUCGUAAAUCGGUAGCUGUGGAAACAAAAUCCUUCCCGUAUUUCUUCUCAAAAACAUCUCGAAUUGCUAACAGUUCGGGAAUAUCCGAGCACCUAGGAGCUGCAAAUAUUAAACUUGAUAUCCCUUCUUUCAGAUCAGCUGGACAUUCUCUGAAUAGUGAAAUUGUGAUGAGAUUUUAUCUAGUAAACAAUCAUAUAUUACAUGUUCAACCUACAUAAUCAGGAUUCAACAGAAAUAGGGUUUUGUAUAACACCUUUGCUUUGCAAUGACAGAAAGUCUGGUCACCACUAAUUCGCAGAAAAGCUCAAUGAACUCAUUUGCAGCCAUAAUAUUUUGUUCUCGAAUUACAUGUUCAACCUACAUAAUCACAAUAACGUUUUGAUCAAAUCUUGGCAAGGGAGAUCGUACCACAAAAGUUAAAAGUAUUGAAUGAUAUACAGGUAUAAAAUGGAGGUUACAUGGAUUGAGGAUAAGAGUAAAGAGCACUCACUCAUAAGAGUGACGCAAUGUCAGUCUAUCAAGUUAAAAGAUGGAGGGCGUAGAGGAAAACUAACGUGGCGUAUUAUGGUUACGAACAGUUGCUUUCGAUCACCCUACUAAGCAUGUACUAAUGAACCAGAGAAGGAUUCAAGAAGCCAACUCCAAGUUUCUUAAGAAUAAGACUUUGUUUUUCUAUAAACGUUGUUGUUGAUAAAACAGAACAACAUAAAAGAAACUUUUCAAUCAAACAAACAUCUUUCCAUUUCAUAUCUCGGGCUACAGCUAUCCAAGUUGAGUGAUUCUUGUGCCCAUAUUAAGACAACUCAAUGAGGAACGUAGUAAUACUUUCAGAGUCUCAAAUGGAUGUUUAUGGAGUCAAAAAUAACAUGUUGAAAUUGACCCAAAAACUGUCCCGUUUCUGCCUUUUGUCACUUGCAAGGAGAAGUUUUUAAAAAAAAGGUCUCUUAACACAACAUAAAAGAUAUAAUUGCAUAAUUUACUUCCGGUACCAUAUUACAUCAUGUCUCAUANNNNNNNNNNNNNNNNNNNNNNNNNNNNNNNNNNNNNNNNNNNNNNNNNNNNNNNNNNNNNNNNNNNNNNNNNNNNNNNNNNNNNNNNNNNNNNNNNNNNNNNNNNNNNNNNNNNNNNNNNNNNNNNNNNNNNNNNNNNNNNNNNNNNNNNNNNNNNNNNNNNNNNNNNNNNNNNNNNNNNNNNNNNNNNNNNNNNNNNNNNUGAGUAUAAAGAAUAUUCAGUAAGAUACCAUGCUUGGAUUUUAACAUGUUAAUACUAUACAAAAGAAUGCAAUCAAACACAUACUUGCACAUUCCGGCUUGCCGGUGCCCUUCGGACUUGUCCUAAGACAUAAAUAGAUAUCUAACUUUGUGGACUUGUCCACCACAUUCAUAUUAUGGUUUUUCAUGCAUAGCUUAAGUAUAAAUAUUACCAUGAAAUCAUACCACUUAAGCAUAGAAAGUAUCUUACAAUAAAACUUGAAGAAAUCUUGGUUGAAAAUGAAUUGAGAAAUGCCAGGUUGGUCCUCUUCUUCCCUCAUGUUUUCUGCCCUUUUUUAAACAAGUGAUAAGUUAUUUUUCAUGCAAGGGAAAUAAAGGGCAGCAACACAUCUACUUAUAGGUGAGAAAAAUGAUAAAUUUUGGGCGACUCUUCAAGAAAUUCAACAUGUGUAGGUUGCAUGGUUUCACCUUCUUAAAUUUAAAACACCUCAUGCAUUAGUUAGUCACCUCAUGCUUAAAUUUAAAACACCUCAUGCAUAUAUGUUUCAUCAAUUUUCGGCCAAGUUGGAGAAACAAUGUUUAACUUUAGUAAUUAGGUGUAAAAUGGACAUUUAUCCCAAACCCCUAAUUAACAAAUUAUUUGGAAAAACUUUUAAUAAAUCAACCAAUGCAAAAUUUGGCAACCAUAUAUAAUUUUUUGGUCAUACUAAACUUUGAAAAGUUAAAUUGCUAUUCUAAAAAUUAAAUGAUCACAAAAUUCGGAGUAUUACAAGUAUCUUCAAAACUGUCGUGUUAGACAUUUUAACUGUCGAACUCGAUAUUUAGUAACUGUCGGGAUAUACAAUUUAAUUGUCGAUUAUGACACCUGAAAACUGUUGUCAACCUUUCUCUAUUUGGUACUACAUGGAUCUAAGUAUUUGCAUGCGCCAAUUUGAUGAUAUUAAAUAUCGAUAUGUGAAUGUGCAAAAUUCUCAUUUUUGCAGUCCCAACAUUUCAGGUAUGAGUUAUGAUUUGAGAUUUAUCGUGUCGCAUGGGGGAAACUUUAUUCACGUAGAUAAGGAAUGAAAGUGGAGAGGGGACAAAACCACUUCCAUUUUAGCGUCGAGAAGUAUUACCGUAAAAGAACUUGUGUUACGGUUGAAGGACAAAUUUGGUAUCAUUGAACCCCGCAAUGAAAUCAAAUUGAAGUUCAAAGUCCCGAAUUUGAAUAUACCUCUGGCAGAGAUACGUGACGAUUAGAACCUAAAUUGGUACAUAUCUGUUCAUAAGGAAACUGCACUCUGCGCCACUAUUUUGGAAAUCGAACUCCCGAGUGUUGACAUGGUGAGAGGUGCAAACUGUGCAGGGAAUUUGUUCAGCCUAACGGAAUGUCCCCAGAACGUACAACAUGAUGAGCUAAAUCAUCAGCACGGUGUGUCGAACACCGAAGCACCGGAACCUUCAAUUGACCAUAUGGAGGCUGCAACAACCGAUGAGCACCUAGACAACCUGAUAUAUGGUAUAGAUGGGUGGAUUACAGUCAUAAAUACAUCCUUUUUCGUCAAAAAAUAAAUAUUCUUUAGCAAGAAACAGUUGUACUUGAAGAUUCGUGUACUUAUUUUGCAAGAGAAGUUCCAAUUUUGAGCAAGUAGGUCAAGCAGGAAAAUGUUAACCGUUGUAUGUCUGGACGAUAAUUGCAAGUGGAUGCCACGUGCUCUAUUGUCAAGGAAUCUACAAUCUUCACGAUCCGUAAAUUCAUUAGAGUUCACACAUGUUCCCUUGAUUUUCGUCGUAACGCACAUCGACAUGCCACUAGUUCUGUAAUUGCCGAUCAGAUUUUGGGAAAACUGGAUACUCCAUACCAAUCGUAUGACCCUACCGCUAUUACACAUGAUAUGGAACGUGAGUUCGGUGUGAAAAUUAGUUACAGCAAAGCACGUAGGGGGACGCUUCAUGCCUUAAAUAUGCUAUAUGGUACACCGGGGGACAGUUUUCAAAAAUUAUCUUCGUAUUGCCACAUCGUAGGAGAGAAUAACUCGGGGACAGUAACCCAUAUUAAAGUUGAUUCUUUUCAUAGGUUUCAUUACUUCUUCCUAACUUUUGGUGCAAGCAUUCGUGGUUACAUGCAAUACUUGAGACCCAUUAUUUGUGUUGAUGACAGUCACUUGAAUGGUCCAUACAAAGAUACACUUCUAGUAGCAACUGCGCAAGAUGCUAACGAACAGAUUUAUCCGUUUGCAUGGGAGAUCGUGGAUGCCGAAACCAAUAAAUCCUGAGAGUGGUUUAUGUCUAACUUGAAAGACCUUAUAGAGAACUCCGAAGAACUCGUAUUUGUUUCAGACAAGAAAAACAGUCUUGUGAAAGCUAUUACUCAGUUGUUUCCGUUGUCUUACCAUGGUUGUUGUAUCUGACAUCUCGAGAAGAACCUAAUACAGCGGUACAGCAAUGCAAGUGCAAUAUUUCUAUUGAAACGAGCUACUACAACUUAUCGGGUCGAGGACUUCGAAAGACUCAUGGGACAGAUUCGUAGGGUGAGCGCAAGAACGCACGGGUAUUCAGAGCGAGCAGGUUAUUCAUUUUGGUCCCAAGCGCUAUUUAUUGGCCACCGUUACAAUAUUAUGACAAACAACAACGCAGAGUCUUUGAACUCCAUGUUGAGACAUGCUCGUUCAUUACCGAUAAUAUGCUUGAUUGAACACAUUCGGAGUACUAUACAGAAGUGGUUUUAUGAACAUCGAACAAAUGUGACCGAAUGCAAUACCGUAUUGACGCCGAGGAUAGAGACCAAGUUACGAACGACAUUCGAAGAUGGAACUAGGCUUCAAGCCCAUUUCUUGACAAACAACUUAACCUAAGUCGGAAUAUCCGAUGACACAGACAUAGUUGACUUUUUCAAGGACACCUGCACGUGUCGUGAGUUCCAACUAAAUCGUAUGCUAUAUGUUCAUAUAACUCGUGCUGCUUGCUUCAGAGGAAAGUUUAUAUACGACCUAAGCUCUCUCUAUUACACAUUUGAAUACUGGAGGAGUACCUAUAAUGAAGCUAUAUAUCCCAUUGGACGUGAAGUGGACUGGGUUGUUCCGAGCUUAAUUAUAUGUACUCCUAUUUUCCCACCACUCGUACGUUGUCUUCUAGGUAGACCACCGACCCGACGUAAGAGUUCUAGAUACAAGUCUGCAUGGUCGAGCAGGAAAUGCACUCGUUGUGGUCGAAUUGGUCAUAACCGGAGCACAUGUUCAAACCCUAAUGUAAUUUGUUAGAGGUUUUCAGUGUAAUUGACGUUGUAUGUUGAAUGUUCCAUGCUGCAUUGCACAUUAUGAAGUUAUCUUAUAAAGUUUGUGAUAAUUACCAUUUCUGGACGUUCGGCAUCCUUUUGUGCACAUACAAAUUUCAGUGUGCAAAGUGUUCUGCACCUACGCAAAACCUUGUAUCUUUUUCGUCCACUUAAAAACGCAAGUUUCAAUCCCCACGCAAUAUAUUAUCAUUUGCAACAUCGUAAAUAGUGAACUUAUUUUAGUACACGAUAAACACCAUUUCAUAAUAUCCGUUCAACGCACUGCAAAAUACGGAUCUAUUUACAAACAUAUGAUUCUUACAACCUGACAUUUAAUUUGUCGAUCCCGACAGAUAGGCUCUGUAAUUCUUGACCAUUGGACCGGAGUACACAAAAUGCACUACCUAGAUUACACCCUAGGAACAUGUUUAUGUUGACUUUUUGGUUUUGUGUUUACCAAAUUCAUCUCUACAAAAUACUGGACUAUACAAUACUUAUUCACUACAUUCCAUGGGCGUGACAUCAUUCGUCGUCAACAAUUGAACCUUCUCCCCCGCUGUCUUCACCGGACUUGUCCGACGAUAUGAUAAUUACCUCAUUCUUUGCGACGUAGGCCAUGGAGUCGUUGUCGUCGGAAUCCUCCUUGUAUCUAGUGUCGAGCUCGAACACCUCAUCGAGCACACCGUUUGGUGCUUGCGGAACCUCAUGGCCAACAUCUUCCAAGCUGGGAAAAGGAACAGGGGAAAUGGCUCUCCUACCAAUACGAGAGUUAACUUCAUCAUCGUCUGAUGAAAUGUAGAUUGGAAAUAACGAAGAUGAACUCGAAACUGGCAAUGGAUCGUUCAUGUUGAAUGGUUCGUUGCUUCUUGUGGAAAAACUCAUUAUGUCGAUGUAAUAAAUUGUUGAUGAAAUUACUUGUAUGUGAAAAGUUGAAAGUCUCACAAUGCUAUUGAAGUAGGUUGCUUGUGAGUGAGAAUGAACUGCCACAGUAUUUAUAAGCAACUUCAAGGGAGGAAGCAAUUAUGGUCAUCAUUUACACAACCACCAAGUCCAAUCUCUUUGUAAAUUUGAAAAACAAUUGGUGUGAUUGUUCAAUAAAUUAAGUGUACCUUUAUCUUCAUUUCCCUAUAAUUACAAGGACCUAACAGACUCCUUAACCAUAUGUACAAUUAAGUAUAUCUACUUUCCUGUAGUUUGACAAACCAUAAAUUGCUACUUAGUUGUGUCAUGCCUGCAAUGCUACAUUGUCUCACACUUAUAGCUCCUCAUCGUAACACACAUUCUAAAUGAAGAGCGAAAAAAAGGGAAAUACUAAAUAACUCAUUUGUGAGUAAGUUGUAUUGUGGCUCUCAUGCUUUUCACACUUGUGAUGCCUCGAUCAUGUUAGGUUUUGAACAAAUGUCACAUUUGUGAAUAAGUGUACAUAAAUUUUGCAUCUAGGUCAGUACACGUAAGUUUUCAACAAAUGUCACAUCUUUUGUUUUGAACAACUCGACGGUAAUGUUACAUAGUAACGACGAAAAUAAAAUUCCACGAUUUUAUUUGCAACGAGCUCAUAUAUUUGCAACCUAUGUUAAAAAAUUUGCCACAAAUUACAAACAACUGUAAUCAUACUUUCAAUUGUAUGUGAUUCUAAGCCUAUGGUAACUUCACAUUGCAAACAAAUACCAUAAAUUACAAAUAUGAAUAACUAUAUCUUUGAAUUGCAUGUGAUCUUAAGCUCCUGGUAACUUUAGAUUGCAAACAAAUGCCAUAAAUUACAAAUAUGAAUAAUCAUAUCUUUAAAUUGCACGUGAUCCUAAGCUUCUGGUAACUUUAGAUUGCAAACAAAUGCCAUAAAUUACAAAUAUGAAUAAUCAUAUCUUUGAAUUGUAUGUGAUCAUAAGCCUAUGGUAACUUUACAUUGCAAACGAAUGCCAUAAAUUAGAAAUAUGAAUAAUCAUAUCUUUAUAUUAUAUAUGCAUCACAGCUUAUGGGAACAUUAGAUUGCAGUCACAUGCGAUAAAUUAAUUGUAUGAAUAAUCAUAUCUUUGAAUUGCAUGUGAUCCUAAGCUCCUAGUAACUUUAGAUUGUAAACGAAUGCCAUACAUUACAAAUAAGAAUAAUGAUAUCUUUAAAUUGCAUGUGAUCAUAAGCUUAUGAGAACUUUAGAUUGCAAACAAAUGCCAUAAAUUACACAUACGAAUAUUCAUAUCUUUAAAUUAUAUACGCAUCACAAUAUGUUGAACCACAAGAUAUAUUGAACCAAAAUAAAUUACCACAACCAUAAAUGACACGUAUGUAAGAUUCACGUAAUACAAGACAUGGACAAGUUAUCCUGAAUAUAACACUAAAAUGAAAUGUCAGCAAAAGUAGAAGGGGAGACUGACAUUCAGCAUGGACAACGCAAAAUGUGACGAAUGUGUCAAAGUAUCACCACGCAACACAAGACUAAUUGAAAUGUAAUUUAAAACAAAUUCGAACGAAAAUUCAUAAUCCGGAGCAUUUAACAUCAGUCCCCACCUCCAUCCCUUCAAUUACAAGGUAGAACCAGUUACGGCACCGUCAUCGUGCUAUCCUGACAAUUCAUUCACAUUUACUUCUUUGUUCGCUUCAUCCCCCUCAUAGACGGAGUCCUAGUAGAAGGAGCCAGACGUCGCAGCCAUGCGGAGCACCGUCUCGCUGUAGGAAGUGCGCAUCCUGUUUCGGGUACAGUGGCAGGAUAAGGGGCUUCGGUGACAACGCCUACAAAAAAUCAAAUUGGGUGAAGUUACGUACUCGAACUGCCCUACACUUACCAUACAUAAAAUAACCACUAGUAACAAAGGAAACUAACUUACAAUCGCCAUCCGUCACGGUGCAACCUUCGAACUCUGCAUCGUUGAUUGGGACAGCAUAUGAGGGCUCCAUAGCUCCUCUAUCUGAUGAAUAUGAAUCAUACAUAACUGCAUAGCAUUCCACAUUUGUAUUUCACAGAUAAUUAAAGCCCAGAAUACGAAAGGGAAAAAAAUUUGGGUUAACUGCCUCGUACCGUUCAAAUCUGGCACGCCCAACUGCGGCUCGAUCGGUCCUCUACCUAAUUGGAAGCAACAAUCACAUGAUAUGAAUAAGUUGCGUUUUCACGAAGUGUGUGUAACCCAUUUUGUCAAAGUUUGUGAGUACAUAUGUAUUAAUCCUUGACAAAAAUCAUCACAAACAACACAAUACCUAGCAGGUCAUCAGUUGCAGCCUCAUUCUUUGCGACGUAGGCCAUGGAGUCAUUGUCGUCGGAAUCCUCCUUGUAUCUAGUGUCGAGCUCGAACACCUCAUCGAGCACACCGUUUGGUGCUUGCGGAACCUCAUGGCCAACAUCUUCCAAGCUGGGAAAAGGAACAGGGGAAAUGGCUCUCCUACCAAUACGAGAGUUAACUUCAUCAUCGUCUGAUGAAAUGUAGAUUGGAAAUAACGAAGAUGAACUCGAAACUGGCAAUGGAUCGUUCAUGUUGAAUGGUUCGUUGCUUCUUGUGGAAAAACUCAUUAUGUCGAUGUAAUAAAUUGUUGAUGAAAUUACUUGUAUGUGAAAAGUUGAAAGUCUCACAAUGCUAUUGAAGUAGGUUGCUUGUGAGUGAGAAUGAACUGCCACAGUAUUUAUAAGCAACUUCAAGGGAGGAAGCAAUUAUGGUCAUCAUUUACACAACCACCAAGUCCAAUCUCUUUGUAAAUUUGAAAAACAAUUGGUGUGAUUGUUCAAUAAAUUAAGUGUACCUUUAUCUUCAUUUCCCUAUAAUUACAAGGACCUAACAGACUCCUUAACCAUAUGUACAAUUAAGUAUAUCUACUUUCCUGUAGUUUGACAAACCAUAAAUUGCUACUUAGUUGUGUCAUGCCUGCAAUGCUACAUUGUCUCACACUUAUAGCUCCUCAUCGUAACACACAUUCUAAAUGAAGAGCGAAAAAAAAGGGAAAUACUAAAUAACUCAUUUGUGAGAAAGUUGUAUUGUGGCUCUCAUGCUUUUCACACUUGUGAUGCCUCGAUCAUGUUAGGUUUUGAACAAAUGUCACAUUUGUGAAUAAGUGUACAUAAAUUUUGCAUCUAGGUCAGUACACGUAAGUUUUCAACAAAUGUCACAUCUUUUGUUUUGAACAACUCGACGGUAAUGUUACAUAGUAACGACGAAAAUAAAAUUCCACGAUUUUAUUUGCAACGAGCUCAUAUAUUUGCAACCUAUGUUAAAAAAUUUGCCACAAAUUACAAACAACUGUAAUCAUACUUUCAAUUGUAUGUGAUUCUAAGCCUAUGGUAACUUCACAUUGCAAACAAAUACCAUAAAUUACAAAUAUGAAUAACUAUAUCUUUGAAUUGCAUGUGAUCUUAAGCUUCUGGUAACUUUAGAUUGCAAACAAAUGCCAUAAAUUACAAAUAUGAAUAAUCAUAUCUUUAAAUUGCACGUGAUCCUAAGCUUCUGGUAACUUUAGAUUGCAAACAAAUGCCAUAAAUUACAAAUAUGAAUAAUCAUAUCUUUGAAUUGUAUGUGAUCAUAAGCCUAUGGUAACUUUACAUUGCAAACGAAUGCCAUAAAUUAGAAAUAUGAAUAAUCAUAUCUUUAUAUUAUAUAUGCAUCACAGCUUAUGGGAACAUUAGAUUGCAGUCACAUGCGAUAAAUUAAUUGUAUGAAUAAUCAUAUCUUUGAAUUGCAUGUGAUCCUAAGCUCCUAGUAACUUUAGAUUGUAAACGAAUGCCAUACAUUACAAAUAAGAAUAAUGAUAUCUUUAAAUUGCAUGUGAUCAUAAGCUUAUGAGAACUUUAGAUUGCAAACAAAUGCCAUAAAUUACACAUACGAAUAUUCAUAUCUUUAAAUUAUAUACGCAUCACAAUAUGUUGAACCACAAGAUAUAUUGAACCAAAAUAAAUUACCACAACCAUAAAUGACACGUAUGUAAGAUUCACGUAAUACAAGACAUGGACAAGUUAUCCUGAGUAUAACACUAAAAUGAAAUGUCAGCAAAAGUAGAAGGGGAGACUGACAUUCAGCAUGGACAACGCAAAAUGUGACGAAUGUGUCAAAGUAUCACCACGCAACACAAGACUAAUUGAAAUGUAAUUUAAAACAAAUUCGAACGAAAAUUCAUAAUCCGGAGCAUUUAACAUCAGUCCCCACCUCCAUCCCUUCAAUUACAAGGUAGAACCAGUUACGGCACCGUCAUCGUGCUAUCCUGACAAUUCAUUCACAUUUACUUCUUUGUUCGCUUCAUCCCCCUCAUAGACGGAGUCCUAGUAGAAGGAGCCAGACGUCGCAGCCAUACGGAGUGCCGUCUCGCUGUAGGAAGUGCGCAUCCUGUUUCGGGUACAGUGGCAGGAUAAGGGGCUUCGGUGACAACGCCUACAAAAAAUCAAAUUGGGUGAAGUUACGUACUCGAACUGCCCUACACUUACCAUACAUAAAAUAACCACUAGUAACAAAGGAAACUAACUUACAAUCGCCAUCCGUCACGGUGCAACCUUCGAACUCUGCAUCGUUGAUUGGGACAGCAUAUGAGGGCUCCAUAGCUCCUCUAUCUGAUGAAUAUGAAUCAUACAUAACUGCAUAGCAUUCCACAUUUGUAUUUCACAGAUAAUUAAAGCGCAGAAUACGAAAGGGAAAAAAAUUUGGGUUAACUGCCUCGUACCGUUCAAAUCUGGCACGCCCAACUGCGGCUCGAUCGGUCCUCUACCUAAUUGGAAGCAACAAUCACAUGAUAUGAAUAAGUUGCGUUUUCACGAAGUGUGUGUAACCCAUUUUGUCAAAGUUUGUGAGUACAUAUGUAUUAAUCCUUGACAAAAAUCAUCACAAACAACACAAUACCUAGCAGGUCAUCAGUUGCAGCGGGCAUUGGGCCCUGGUCAUUGUCUGAGCGUCCCGCAAUGUGUGCUCUGUCCGUUGACCACAACAUUAAAACAGUGUUAGUAAAUAAGUUUUGACAACUUUGACAACAUGCGAAGUCCAUGAAAUAACAAUUCUCAAUAUGGUCAUAAAGAACCCACGUACCUUUUAGAUGUUUAGUACAUGUAUCUACUCGCAUGUCUUGCUUGUCCGGUCAAGGCUCCAUGUAUCCUCCAUAUACGUCUACAUCACAAUUGUAACAUGGAAAAAAUAUGAGCUAAAGAUACAAUGAUUAAUGUUGAACCUAGGUCAAAUUUAACAAGCAAACGGUUUACGUAUGUAAGAUUCAUACCUUGCGGUAAUCAACUUGAAACUUCGGCCUCGGUAUCGAUGGGCGUCGUGACUAAAGCCGUGGUUCGACCAGCUGAGGCCAUGAGGGUAGCUAAGAACUCCCGGAGUUUUUUACAUUUUGAGGCCAUGUGCUGUUCGAUUUCAAGUUUUAUGGUCUAGAGUCACAUUUCGAGGAGGAUUCUUUGGUCCAACAGCAACUCCUCCACUUUCCCUCUAGUCAGGCUUGAUCCAAAUGUUCCAACUGCUCGUGUCUCCAUCGUCGGCUCUCGCACUGGUGAAGUAACUCGUGGCGCUCGAGGCAUGGAAGACGUACCCAUCUAUCCUUUGCGGGUAUCCUCACCAUCGUUGGAUCAAUCACAUGUGCCCUCGACAGUAUCCUCGAUAUCAUCACUGUCGCGAUAACUGCCUGACUGCCCGUCUUCAUCGUCAUCUCCAGACAUCUCAUCCUCACCACUUCCUCCACGGGCAACUCCAUCGUCCAAACCCUACCUUGCCAAUUGUCUACCAUUUCCACUGCCAGCGUGCGAUGCAUUGAAUUGCGACGCGACAAUGAUUCUGGCGAUAUCAUCGAGCACUAGCAUCGGGGAAUCAUCGUACGGCACGAGUGUGGAAAAAUAGGGUUGUUCAGCCUCUGCAUCGGUGGGACGAAAUGUAGCGUACACAUGUAGCUGCAAAAUAAGGUAAUGCAACUGACAUGGGAAGGUAUAAGAUUAACACGAAACGUGAAAAAUGAAACACAUGUUCUAUUUAUACCUGUACGUUCUUGAAAAAUGCAUCGUAUGUACGAUGCUGUGGCUGUUUUCAUGCCGACUAGCUAAGAAGUCGUGGCAUUCGAAUCUCCGAGAGCCCCUCAUAGGCCCAUACCUGUUGGAAAAAGAGAAACACAUUCAAAUCGGUGAGAUUGUAGGCACGGUGCUAGUGGAGGGAAAAAUCAAGCAUGAUAGAAUAAAAUUACAAAUAUAAAUACCUGCAUGGCAAUGGGAAAGCCGUGAACCGUGUAAGUAAUCUCCUUCUCCUGCCUUCUCUUGGCCUUUUGGAAUUUUCUUGCCCAACUACCCCGGAAUCCGUGCAACAAACGCCUAUAUCCGACUCCACCGCAAGGGUAGGCAAAAAAUACGUCCAGGUCAUCGACAAUUGAUAGUGUAUGCAAUUGGAUACCGACAUUCUUAUCGGGAACAUUGAAAACUCCUUCCACAAUUAGAACCAGCCCUAACUUGUAGCGAUCAGCUCAGGUCGUCGAAGGUCGAGCAACAGUACUCUGGAGUUGUGCCAACGAAAUCUUGUCCAUGGAUUUGAAGUACCUCUCUUUCAACCUUGUCCUUUUUAGCAAUCGAUCGAAGUCAUCACCCUCUGAAAAACACUACAUCUUAACCCCGUCACAAGAGCGUACUCCUGUAGAUCGAAUCUCAUCAAGUGGCCUUUCCAAAAAAUAAACAAAAAAAAGCUUGAGAAGCAGAUGUAUUUCCCCAAGGGAACUGGACUUCCGCUUCUUUGUCAUUAUUACCUACAUGAAAAACACUAGAGGACAUCAUUCGUCUUGUCAAGGAGGGGGGAGUUAUGAAAGUCCCGACGUUACCGCUUGUUGAAAUGGUCCAUCACGAUCUUCACAUACUCGAGGUUGCUUCAUUAAGAAAUGUGGGUUCGCAACCAUACAUCUUCUGGAAUAUGGAAUUCGAACUCCAUCUGUUCUACAAGGUGCAUUCAUAAAACCCCUGGGGUUGCAUGAUAAAUGUAAACAUAAUGUACCAUAAAUAGCAGUUUAAUGAAGCGAACUCAUGCAUGUAACAGUAAACUGUCGAGAAAUGCUGAGUUAAUGGAUCUAGUUAAACUCCUAGAGGUGAGGUACAAUUCUGAAGCAACUAAUUACCAUGCAAUCAAAAUUCUGGAAAAUAUAGAGUAGAAAAAAUUGUGCUCUAUAGGAACCCCAAAAUAGAGAACUCAUAAAUUCCUUUGGUUUGCAUUAUCGUAUCAUGUUGAACAUGUAUUUUCAAAUUAUUCUGCUUUAGAUGAUUUUUGACAAACUUCAAUUGGUGAGAAUGAUUAUUCUUCCUAUUGAACAACGUUAUACUCCAAUACUACCAACUUUUCAUAGGUUCUCCAACCACACGAUCGCCACUCUCAAUUGCAUGGCCAGUAAUUCAACAAUAUAAGAAUGAUAUACUGAUCAUUGGAAAAAUGUGAAAAAAUAGUAACUUCAAAUAAUAAAAAAAAAAGUAUACUUAAAUAAACCAUAAACCCUCUAAAAAUCCAUGUCAAAACUCUGAAAACAUAAAUAAAUCAACAUAGUAGUAAAUAACAUAUUACAAGUAGUAAUUACAUUUGAAGACCAUUAAUUCGAAACUACAACUAGAAAUCUAAAACAAUUGAAACAAUUAUGCCAUUUAAGAUUUAUGUUUACUUCGAAUUCAAAGGAAAGUAAAUACCGACGAAUGAAACAAAAAAAUACAAAAAAAGCAAGAAAAAAUAUAUACGAAUGGAAAUAAGAGUAAAAUUAUAUGGAUCAUAAAACCAACCCAAAAGGUCAAGGCUAGUAAAAAUACAGCCUAGAAAGAGCAAAAAAGGAUUACCCAUCUUCAGGCUAUUACUACGAGGCAUAAGCUCAGUAAUUCAAGAUAUAAACCUUGACUACUCAAACAAUUAGCUUUGAGCUCAUAGGAGGCGUAAGCCCCGACAUUUUCAAAACAUUAACCAUCAAAUAUAUGCCAAAAUAUGGAACAUAAAAAUUUACCUAGAAAAAAUGGAUGGCAACUUCCGUUAAAAAUAUAUAUAUAUAAUAAAAAAAAGUGUAUCGUGCAUUGACAAAAAAAAAAAAAAAACAUAAAUAUUAUAAAAUAAAUUAAAAAUCUCAAAACUUUUGCCCAAAUGUGGCUUCGUCGGCGACGUUGUACAAAGAACGUAUGCACAUUUCCUCUUCUUCAGGAAAAAAAGCAACAAAUGAAGAAAACAUCAACCUGAAUAAAUUAGUGACGUCUUCAUCGAUGGUGGAGCGAUUGACAGCGAUCGUCCACUGCUGGGUGUUGGAUGAUUCGAAUACCAGAAGGGGGUCUCGCCUUUCGCCAGUUCGUACGACAGAGGGGAGUGUUUUCGGUCUUCGUCGGCAGUAAAAGAACGAAAAGUGCGAGAGAGGGAAAUGUGUUCCAAGACUAGUUUCUUCUUCUUCAUUUGGUUUCGUCGUUUGAACUUCUUUAUUGAUUUUGUUUUUUUUUUUCUUUUUUUUUCCUUUCAAUUUCCAUCAAUGUUAGUACCUGACAUUUCACAAAUCUUUUGUACAAUUUGGAGUCUAGUUAUGUCAUACUUAAUUAAGGACGUAGAAGGGAUUGAGAUUACUUUGGGGGGCAAACAAAAAGACCAAAAUUGACAUUUUUGCAAUGGCUCAAAAAAUGUGACAUUUUUGUAACUGAAAAGCUAAAAGUUGACUAUUUUGGUGUGUGUGGGUGUGUGUGUGUAUAUAUAUAAUAGGUCAAUGGCUGGUGCGAUGUCUAAGCCGAUGACCGUGGUUAGCACAGACUAAUUUUCUGGUUUUUGUUUUAGGGAUAGGUGGAGGUUGGAGGGGUGGCGAUUGAGGAAGAUGAAUAGUGUAUUUAUUUAUUUUAUUGGUUUUUGAUAUAAUUAUUUUGGGGCUUUUGCUGCAAUUUUCCUUAAUUCCAAAAAAUAAACAAAAAAAAGCUUGAGAAGCAGAUGUGUUUCCCCAAGGGAACUGGACUUCCGCUUCUUUGUCAUUAUUACCUACAUGAAAAACACUAGAGGACAUCAUUCGUCUUGUCAAGACAUGCCACAUGCCCGAUCGCAAAGAAUUCACCAAGGUGGUGACUCGUACUGCGAUAGGUUUCGUGGUGAUGGGAUUCAUAGGUUUCUUUCUCAAACUAAUAUUCAUCUCUUUAACAACAUCAUCAUCGGAUCUAGUUAAACUCCUAGAGGUGAGGUACAAUUCUGAAGCAACUAAUUACCAUGCAAUCAAAAUUCUGGAAAAUAUAGAGUAGAAAAAAUUGUGCUCUAUAGGAACCCCAAAAUAGAGAACACAUAAAUUCCUUUGGUUUGCAUUAUCGUAUCAUGUUGAACAUGUAUUUUCAAAUUAUUCUGCUUUAGAUGAUUUUUGACAAACUUCAAUUGGUGAGAAUGAUUAUUCUUCCUAUUGAACAACGUUAUACUCCAAUACUACCAACUUUUCAUAGGUUCUCCAACCACACGAUCGCCACUCUCAAUUGCAUGGCCAGUAAUUCAACAAUAUAAGAAUGAUAUACUGAUCAUUGGAAAAAUGUGAAAAAAUAGUAACUUCAAAUAAUAAAAAAAAAGUAUACUUAAAUAAACCAUAAACUCUCUAAAAAUCCAUGUCAAAACUCUGAAAACAUAAAUAAAUCAACAUAGUAGUAAAUAACAUAUUACAAGUAGUAAUUACAUUUCUAUACUCAAAUGUAAUUGACCCAGACAUCAACCUGGUUCAAAGGAUCGAACCAAGGUCUAACCAAGAUUGACCCAAUGAUUUUUAAAAAAAUUUACAAAAAAAAUAAAUUUACAAAAAAAAAAUAAAAAAAAAAUCAACAAAUAAGAUUAAAUUGAAAUUAAAUGGCCCAAAAACUGCUAAAGAUUUAUGUUUACUUCGAAUUCAAAGGAAAGUAAAUACCGACGAAUGAAACAAAAAAAUACAAAAAAAGGAAGAAAAAAUAUAUACGAAUGGAAAUAAGAGUAAAAUUAUAUGGAUCAUAAAACCAACCCAAAAGGUCAAGGCUAGUAAAAAUACAGCCUAGAAAGAGCAAAAAAAGAUUACCCAUCUUCAGGCUUAUGCUCAGUAAUUCAAGAUAUAAACCUUGACUACUCAAACAAUUAGCUUUGAGCUCACAGGAGGCGUAAGCCCCGACAUUUUCAAAACAUUAACCAUCAAAUAUAUGCCAAAAUAUGGAACAUAAAAAUUUACCUAGAAAAAAUGGAUGGCAACUUCCGUUAAAAAUAUAUAUAUAUAUAUAAUAAAAAAAAAGUGUGUCGUGCAUUGACAAAAAAAAAAAAAACAUAAAUAUUAUAAAAUAAAUUAAAAAUCUCAAAACUUUUGCCCAAAUGUGGCUUCGUCGGCGACGUUGUACAAAGAACGUAUGCACAUUUCCUCUUCUUCAGGAAAAAAAGCAACAAAUGAAGAAAACAUCAACCUGAAUAAAUUAGUGACGUCUUCAUCGACGGUGGAGCGAUUGACAGCGAUCGUCCACUGCUGGGUGUUGGAUGAUUCGAAUACCAGAAGGGGGUCUCGCCUUUCGCCGGUUCGUACGACAGAGGGGAGUGUUUUCGGUCUUCGUCGGCAGUAAAAGAACGAAAAGUGCGAGAGAGGGAAAUGUGUUCCAAGACUAGUUUCUUCUUCUUCAUUUGGUUUCGUCGUUUGAACUUCCUUAUUGAUUUUGUUUGUUUUUUUUUCUUUUUUUUUUCCUUUCAAUUUCCAUCAAUGUUAGUACCUGACAUUUCACAAAUCUUUUGUACAAUUUGGAGUCUAGUUAUGUCAUACUUAAUUAAGGACGUAGAAGGGAUUGAGAUUACUUAGGGGGGCAAACAAAAAGACCAAAAUUGACAUUUUUGCAAUGGCUCAAAAAAUGUGACAUUUUUGUAACUGAAAAGCUAAAAGUUGACUAUUUUGGUGUGUGUGGGUGUGUGUGUGUAUAUAUAUAAUAGGUCAAUGGCUGGUGCGAUGUCUAGGCCGAUGACCGUGGUCAGCACAGACUAAUUUUCUGGUUUUUGUUUUAGGGAUAGGUGGAGGUUGGAGGGGUGGCGAUUGAGGAAGAUGAAUAGUGUAUUUAUUUAUUUUAUUGGUUUUUGAUAUAAUUAUUUUGGGGCUUUUGCUGCAAUUUUCCUUAAUUUUGGUCAAUAAUUUGUACUUGACAACAUCACAAUCAUCUAUUUUAGAAAUUAUUUUUAAAAUCGACGAUCCGAAUUUUGACAACACUAAUGUUGUCAAUCAUAACUGUCAAACAUGAUUGUACAAAUAUGUUAAUUAUGAAACUUUUACUGAUUUCAACUUUUUCCUUGUUAACAGUUCGAUCUUUUGUACAUAGAAUUGUAACUAUUAUUUUUAUAUGGUUGGUUGGCAUGCUUUAUACUUCGGUUAAUUUUUCAAAUUGACUAAAAAAAAAGUCUUAAUUAAUAGUUGUCUAUCGUGACAAAUUUGAUAUAAAGGCUUUCAAUGUUGCUACAUACAUAUUUCGAUUUACACCAUCACACCAUCUUUCACAUUUCACAUAUCUUAAUUAAUAGUUGUCUAUCGUGACAAAUUUGAUAUAAAGGCUUUCAAUGUUGCUACAUACAUAUUUCGAUUUACACCAUCACACCAUCUUUCACAUUUCACAUAUCUUAAUUAAUAGUUGUCUAUCGUGACAAAAUUGAUAUAGAGACUUUAAAUCUUGCUACAUAUAUAUUUCGAUUUACACCAUCUUUCACAUUUCACAUAUUUAAUUAAACCAUCAAUCUUGUCAUAUCACCCAUCCGUCAACAAGGACGUCAAACUUUAUGUAUAAAUAGCUUAAUUGAAAGACUUCUUACACAGAUAUUUGUUAAUAGCAACUCAGAAUUGUACAAGUAUACUCAAAUGUAAUUGACCCAGACAUCAACCUGGUUCAAAGGAUCGAACCAAGGUCUAACCAAGAUUGACCCAAUGAUUUUUAAAAAAAUUUACAAAAAAAAUAAAUUUACAAAAAAAAAAUAAAAAAAAAAUCAACAAAUAAGAUUAAAUUGAAAUUAAAUGGCCCAAAAACUGCUAUGACCUGUUACAGAUACAUGGCCCAUGUAUGCAAACCCCACCUUCCUCAUUGUUUCAUAUCAAACUUCGGUGGCUUUUCCGGUUUAACCAACCGAUCCGGUCCAAUUUUUACAACAUUGAGCAUACUACAAUAUGACUUGAAUAGGACCAAGUCAGAACCAAUCAAUUCUCAAUGCCAUUUAUUACGAUAAGAUUUUCAUUGAUGUCUUCUUUAUUAUGCAGGGACUGUAACGUUACUGUCAAGAUCAUUGAUUUCGAAUCCAGUCCUCGAUUCAAAUAUUUAUUAGGAGUGAUUUCUGAAACACACAAGAAUUCUUCAACAAAUUUUUCAGAACAAUGUGAAGCAUGUUAUUCCCACUCAAAGAAAAAACAAGAUUAGAAUCCUGUUUUAACCCCAUUUUUUGCCUGCCCCAAAAUGUAUUUUGAAUUAGUAUUUUAAUAGAAAAUGUGUAGUUCAAAAUAAUAAUAAUAAUAAUAAAAUCAAAUCAAAUUUACGUGUAAUAUUAUUUUGUUGAAGAAUAUGUGAUUGAAAAUAAAAAGAAAAAUAUAUUUUGAAAAUAAUGAGAACCAAACUAGGACCGGUGGAGCGAUUGACAGCGAUCGUCCACUGCUGGGUGUUGGAUGAUUCGAAUACCAGAAGGGGGUCUCGCCUUUCGCCGGUUCGUACGACAGAGGGGAGUGUUUUCGGUCUUCGUCGGCAGUAAAAGAACGAAAAGUGCGAGAGAGGGAAAUGUGUUCCAAGACUAGUUUCUUCUUCUUCAUUUGGUUUCGUCGUUUGAACUUCCUUAUUGAUUUUGUUUGUUUUUUUUUCUUUUUUUUUUCCUUUCAAUUUCCAUCAAUGUUAGUACCUGACAUUUCACAAAUCUUUUGUACAAUUUGGAGUCUAGUUAUGUCAUACUUAAUUAAGGACGUAGAAGGGAUUGAGAUUACUUAGGGGGGCAAACAAAAAGACCAAAAUUGACAUUUUUGCAAUGGCUCAAAAAAUGUGACAUUUUUGUAACUGAAAAGCUAAAAGUUGACUAUUUUGGUGUGUGUGGGUGUGUGUGUGUAUAUAUAUAAUAGGUCAAUGGCUGGUGCGAUGUCUAGGCCGAUGACCGUGGUCAGCACAGACUAAUUUUCUGGUUUUUGUUUUAGGGAUAGGUGGAGGUUGGAGGGGUGGGGAUUGAGGAAGAUGAAUAGUGUAUUUAUUUAUUUUAUUGGUUUUUGAUAUAAUUAUUUUGGGGCUUUUGCUGCAAUUUUCCUUAAUUUUGGUCAAUAAUUUGUACUUGACAACAUCACAAUCAUCUAUUUUAGAAAUUAUUUUUAAAAUCGACGAUCCGAAUUUUGACAACACUAAUGUUGUCAAUCAUAACUGUCAAACAUGAUUGUACAAAUAUGUUAAUUAUGAAACUUUUACUGAUUUCAACUUUUUCCUUGUUAACAGUUCGAUCUUUUGUACAUAGAAUUGUAACUAUUAUUUUUAUAUGGUUGGUUGGCAUGCUUUAUACUUCGGUUAAUUUUUCAAAUUGACUAAAAAAAAAGUCUUAAUUAAUAGUUGUCUAUCGUGACAAAUUUGAUAUAAAGGCUUUCAAUGUUGCUACAUACAUAUUUCGAUUUACACCAUCACACCAUCUUUCACAUUUCACAUAUCUUAAUUAAUAGUUGUCUAUCGUGACAAAAUUGAUAUAGAGACUUUAAAUCUUGCUACAUAUAUAUUUCGAUUUACACCAUCUUUCACAUUUCACAUAUUUAAUUAAACCAUCAAUCUUGUCAUAUCACCCAUCCGUCAACAAGGACGUCAAACUUUAUGUAUAAAUAGCUUAAUUGAAAGACUUCUUACACAGAUAUUUGUUAAUAGCAACUCAGAAUUGUACAAGUAUACUCAAAUGUAAUUGACCCAGACAUCAACCUGGUUCAAAGGAUCGAACCAAGGUCUAACCAAGAUUGACCCAAUGAUUUUUAAAAAAAUUAAAAAAAAAAAUAAAUUUACAAAAAAAAAAUAAAAAAAAAAUCAACAAAUAAGAUUAAAUUGAAAUUAAAUGGCCCAAAAACUGCUAUGACCUGUUACAGAUACAUGGCCCAUGUAUGCAAACCCCACCUUCCUCAUUGUUUCAUAUCAAACUUCGGUGGCUUUUCCGGUUUAACCAACCGAUCCGGUCCAAUUUUUACAACAUUGAGCAUACUACAAUAUGACUUGAAUAGGACCAAGUCAGAACCAAUCAAUUCUCAAUGCCAUUUAUUACGAUAAGAUUUUCAUUGAUGUCUUCUUUAUUAUGCAGGGACUGUAACGUUACUGUCAAGAUCAUUGAUUUCGAAUCCAGUCCUCGAUUCAAAUAUUUAUUAGGAGUGAUUUCUGAAACACACAAGAAUUCUUCAACAAAUUUUUCAGAACAAUGUGAAGCAUGUUAUUCCCACUCAAAGAAAAAACAAGAUUAGAAUCCUGUUUUAACCCCAUUUUUUGCCUGCCCCAAAAUGUAUUUUGAAUUAGUAUUUUAAUAGAAAAUGUGUAGUUCAAAAUAAUAAUAAUAAUAAUAAAAUCAAAUCAAAUUUACGUGUAAUAUUAUUUUGUUGAAGAAUAUGUGAUUGAAAAUAAAAAGAAAAAUAUAUUUUGAAAAUAAUGAGAACCAAACUAGGACUAGAUACAAUUUCAAAGUACUAGUUUCUAAGGGCAUUUUAAGUGUGGAUAAUAUUGGAUAGCACUACGCAGUACAAUAAAUUAAUUUUUAACACACCACACACGAAAAGGAAAGCCCUGUGACUGAACAGUCUCAUCAUAUAAUAAGCAUUCACCAAAACAUUACAGCAAAGCCACUUUACUGACAAAUUUUCACAUUCAUGAAAGUUUAACUAAUAAUACCUGAACAACAUGCAUAAUAUAAUACCACAGGAGAAUCCACACCAGUUUGGUCCAAACCAUAACAUAAUCAUACAAGUCUUCAUACGUGACUUAAAACUUUCAAACGAAAAAGCUUAAAAUCCGAUAAUGUCUUUGCCUACGACAACAUCAAUAAUUCCAUCAAGGCGAAUAUGACCUUAUCUGUCCCUUCUUGACCUUCCACCAUAAGGUGAACGCCUAGGAGAGUAGUAACGUUCACCUCUGGGCCGAUGACCGUGGUCAGCACAGACUAAUUUUCUGGUUUUUGUUUUAGGGAUAGGUGGAGGUUGGAGGGGUGGGGAUUGAGGAAGAUGAAUAGUGUAUUUAUUUAUUUUAUUGGUUUUUGAUAUAAUUAUUUUGGGGCUUUUGCUGCAAUUUUCCUUAAUUUUGGUCAAUAAUUUGUACUUGACAACAUCACAAUCAUCUAUUUUAGAAAUUAUUUUUAAAAUCGACGAUCCGAAUUUUGACAACACUAAUGUUGUCAAUCAUAACUGUCAAACAUGAUUGUACAAAUAUGUUAAUUAUGAAACUUUUACUGAUUUCAACUUUUUCCUUGUUAACAGUUCGAUCUUUUGUACAUAGAAUUGUAACUAUUAUUUUUAUAUGGUUGGUUGGCAUGCUUUAUACUUCGGUUAAUUUUUCAAAUUGACUAAAAAAAAAGUCUUAAUUAAUAGUUGUCUAUCGUGACAAAUUUGAUAUAAAGGCUUUCAAUGUUGCUACAUACAUAUUUCGAUUUACACCAUCACACCAUCUUUCACAUUUCACAUAUCUUAAUUAAUAGUUGUCUAUCGUGACAAAAUUGAUAUAGAGACUUUAAAUCUUGCUACAUAUAUAUUUCGAUUUACACCAUCACACCAUCUUUCACAUUUCACAUAUCUUAAUUAAUAGUUGUCUAUCGUGACAAAAUUGAUAUAGAGACUUUAAAUCUUGCUACAUAUAUAUUUCGAUUUACACCAUCACACCAUCUUUCACAUUUCACAUAUUUAAUUAAACCAUCAAUCUUGUCAUAUCACCCAUCCGUCAACAAGGACGUCAAACUUUAUGUAUAAAUAGCUUAAUUGAAAGACUUCUUACACAGAUAUUUGUUAAUAGCAACUCAGAAUUGUACAAGUAUACUCAAAUGUAAUUGACCCAGACAUCAACCUGGUUCAAAGGAUCGAACCAAGGUCUAACCAAGAUUGACCCAAUGAUUUUUAAAAAAAUUAAAAAAAAAAAUAAAUUUACAAAAAAAAAAUAAAAAAAAAAUCAACAAAUAAGAUUAAAUUGAAAUUAAAUGGCCCAAAAACUGCUAUGACCUGUUACAGAUACAUGGCCCAUGUAUGCAAACCCCACCUUCCUCAUUGUUUCAUAUCAAACUUCGGUGGCUUUUCCGGUUUAACCAACCGAUCCGGUCCAAUUUUUACAACAUUGAGCAUACUACAAUAUGACUUGAAUAGGACCAAGUCAGAACCAAUCAAUUCUCAAUGCCAUUUAUUACGAUAAGAUUUUCAUUGAUGUCUUCUUUAUUAUGCAGGGACUGUAACGUUACUGUCAAGAUCAUUGAUUUCGAAUCCAGUCCUCGAUUCAAAUAUUUAUUAGGAGUGAUUUCUGAAACACACAAGAAUUCUUCAACAAAUUUUUCAGAACAAUGUGAAGCAUGUUAUUCCCACUCAAAGAAAAAACAAGAUUAGAAUCCUGUUUUAACCCCAUUUUUUGCCUGCCCCAAAAUGUAUUUUGAAUUAGUAUUUUAAUAGAAAAUGUGUAGUUAAAAAUAAUAAUAAUAAUAAUAAAAUCAAAUCAAAUUUACGUGUAAUAUUAUUUUGUUGAAGAAUAUGUGAUUGAAAAUAAAAAGAAAAAUAUAUUUUGAAAAUAAUGAGAACCAAACUAGGACUAGAUACAAUUUCAAAGUACUAGUUUCUAAGGGCAUUUUAAGUGUGGAUAAUAUUGGAUAGCACUACGCAGUACAAUAAAUUAAUUUUUAACACACCACACACGAAAAGGAAAGCCCUGUGACUGAACAGUCUCAUCAUAUAAUAAGCAUUCACCAAAACAUUACAGCAAAGCCACUUUACUGACAAAUUUUCACAUUCAUGAAAGUUUAACUAAUAAUACCUGAACAACAUGCAUAAUAUAAUACCACAGGAGAAUCCACACCAGUUUGGUCCAAACCAUAACAUAAUCAUACAAGUCUUCAUACGUGACUUAAAACUUUCAAACGAAAAAGCUUAAAAUCCGAUAAUGUCUUUGCCUACGACAACAUCAAUAAUUCCAUCAAGGCGAAUAUGACCUUAUCUGUCCCUUCUUGACCUUCCACCAUAAGGUGAACGCCUAGGAGAGUAGUAACGUUCACCUCUGUAGGGAGAGCGCCUAGGAGAGUAAUCACGUUCACCUCUGUAGGGGGAGCGACUAAGAGAGUAUUCACGUCCACCUCUGUAAGGGGAGCGCCUAGGAGACCUCCGGUACCCAAAG
rnacentral:lncRNA from 1 species